rnacentral:lncRNA from 1 species
CUCUUGAUGAUUCUGAUGUUGGCUUUGUCAAAUAAUGUCUUGAAUUUGUUGUUCCUGCAUAAACAAGCUAAGAGUACAAGUGGAACUAGUUAUGGAUAAAAUAUGUUCAUGUCAUGUCGUUUCCCCUUGCAACCGAGGCAUGUUGACGGUGUUUUGUAUGUGGAUUUCUAUGGUAUAUCCACCGUCAACAAUCUCUGCCUUGUCUCUAUGAAUAGGUACACUUCAAACAAAACAUGGAGGAGUUUUACAACUCCCAGAUUCCACCAAGUGAAGAACCGGGAUCUACGAGCACAAACACAAUGGAGAUAAGACACUUAGUUUCCCAAAGGAAAUAUUGAAGAACCUCUGUGUCCGAGUUGGUACCUUGUACGCUCCAGCAAACUUCGUGGUGAUAGAGACUGGUACUGAGGAGAGGGCACCCAUCAUCUUAGGGAGGCCAUUCCUAAACACCAGAGCUGUCAUCUAUGCUAAUGCUACCAAGAUCAGUCUCUACAUCAAAGGGAAGAAGGAGACUUUCCUUCAAGAACAAGACUACACAAACUUCAGAGCAAUCCUAACAUGAACCAAGGAAGAGGACCAACAGGAGGAACAAGAACAAGCAAAUGUGGACCGAGUCAGCUGAGAUGGUCACUGCAGCUCAAGGAGGUCAAGAUCGUCGACUCAAGUCACCUUUCUUGAUCAAGAAGGACAAUCCUGGUGUUCCAAGCAUCGAGUGCACAAUCAAUGGAAACUCUUUUCAGAAGACACUCUACAACAUCGGAUCUAAUGACAACAUAAUGGCCGCAGUCACUUAUCAGCUCCUGCAUGGAACCAUGCUCCUACAACCAAUAUACAUUCGGCUCCAGGUAAUUUUCAGGUCAUUAACAUGGGAGAAGACGAGUAUGAUGCACCCACCAUCCUCGGAAGACCGUUCCUCAACACUAUCAAAGCAAUCAUCUAUAUUGGAAUCGGAGAAGUCCACAUACACUUCUCCUCUGAGAAGGUAUGCCACUAUUUUACUGACCUUAACUAUAUAGUUGAAGACUCUAAGCAGGUCAGGACAAGAAGAAGACAACGCAACCGCAACCAGAGGAGGCAAAUCAUCAAGAACGGAUGGGUAGACUACGAAGGAGAAGUGAUAAGGUCUGAAGACAUAUAGCUUGAACAGAACUGUCCUGAGGAGACCGUAGCACCGAGUCAGGUGUAGAGAGAGAAGAUAGUUAUAGCCGCCGGAAUCACCGACUACGCCACCUAGCGAAUCCCAGGACGACUGAGAAAACGGAGAGUCCCGUUCGUAGGACUUAAAAACACCAAACGCCUUGCCAAGAGGUAAACUUGGUAGUUAUCCUUUUCCUUUCAAUUAUUCAAUUAUAGUUUGCUUAGUUAAUCAGGUUCAUGCUAUCUUGAAAAGAAAAUAAAAAUGUUAAAAAAAUAGUAAGCCCCAUGUGAGUAUGCUCAUGACAUAAAACCCAUAAGUACAUUCAUUGUGGUGGCAUAAAAAUAAAAUAAAUAAGUUUUCAUCUUACAAUAAAAAUAUAAAAAUAAUAAGUGCAUGAUCCUGCUAAAUAAGUAACAUUUAUUGAGGAGGCUCAACAUGAUAAAGGCUAGAUAUUUAUGCUAACACUUAACCAGUUCCACAAAGCUUUGUUGUCUAUUUGAGCUCCACAUAAUUCAAGGAUCAAAGAAGACUAGCAGACGGAGGACAUCCUAAUCGCUGUUAGGGUGCUGCCGACUUUCAAAUACACCUCCAUCACCUGCUAGCUACAUCAGAAGAAAUUACGUCAAAAUCCAGCUUGGAGGAGAGCACCCCAUUUAUCCAGCUAAGUAUUCUACUCGCGUUUAUACUUUACUCAAAUAAUAAAAAGAUGCAUAAUCAUGAAAAAACAAAUAAAGAUUUUUGUGCUUUUAUAUAUAUCUUUGCUUAGUUUGCUAAAUAAAUAAAUAAAGUUUGCUAUGAACCCUCAUGAUAAACUCUCACAUGGAAAUGAUGAAUAGUUGCUCUGCCAUGACUAGUUCUUAAAAUUAAAAUCUCUCUCAAGUUUAGGCAUAACUGUUAUAAUUUAAACCUACUCUAAAUCUGAACUUGUGGGAAGAGAACUUGAUCUAAAGUCUAAGUCGUUAACGGAUAUGAUAUGGGAAGGUUGAGCUGCUGUUUAUCUGUUUCUAGAGAUGCUAGAAUUCUGGAGAAUUUUAUCUUUAAAAAUCUUUAAAAUGACACAUGAUGAGUUCCUGUAUGAUGAGAGUUUAAAAUCCUACCACAGCCAUAUAUACAUGCUUAUUAGACUUUGAGCCACACAUUUACUUUACUGCUUAUGAGCAUUGAGUGUGGUCAAGCUGUGUAGACCCUUAGGAGCUUGUCAUGUGGUUAAAAUCAAGAUUCACUUGCACGUUCACUCAUACAUGCUACUUCUACUCCGGAAGUACGCAUCCACAUACAUCCACUCAUUUCCAUCUCCAGAUUCAUCCAAAAUUAUUCUACUCCUAAUCCGGAAGAGAAUAGCCAAAAACAUUUUCCUAUACCUGUUAUUCCCUGUGAAAUAAAUGCUCCAGUUAUUUUGGUUACUACCACUUGCUAUAUUAUUUUAGGAGAUGAGUGCUCUAAAAAAAGAGAAAAUAAAUAAAUAAAUAAAUAAAUAAUAUACGAGGAAAUAAGAAGGGGCAAGUGCCCGGAACCUCGAAGAAAAGAAAAAGUGAGACGAGAGGUAAAAAUGGACAAGUGUCCGACAGUAGAAUUAGGGGUACAAGAUACCCACCUGAGAGAAAAAGAAAAAGAAAAUAUAGAGCAUCUCAUUCUCCUCAAAAAAGCUUCAAAGUGCAAGAAAGGUAUGUAUCCCUCAAAAGAGAAAAAGUAGAAUUAGACUUUCACCAUUAUUAUCAUCAUCAUCACCAUACACCAUUCAUUCGCCACACAUGCACAUCAUGAUUUGACUUAUUGACUUGUCUCUCUGGAUCCAUGGUUUGACUAUGCAAUAAAUGUCUUGUAAGUAUGUAUUAGCUGUCUCCCACCUAUGAGCUCCAGAUAUCAAAACCUUAUUAGAGUAGGGUGAGAAAGAAGGCAAUAUCACUAUGCAUUAUACCAAAAAUACCACAUACUUUGAGAAAAGGCAUAUACCAUUACUGCCAGAAAUAUGACAAAAGAGAGAUCUGAGAGAGUCAUACAAGGAAUCUCUGAGUUUUAUUUGAAAAUCUGCAAAAACCCCAGAGCUAUAGCUGAUCAAGAAAAAGAGACAUGGCGCUUGACUUGACCGUUCUAUCUUUUAACUGCUCAAGACACAAGUAACGGUUACAAGCCCCAUGGAGAAAGGUAAAAUGAGUAAGUUUUAAGUCUUAACAGUUUAUUCUAACUCAGAGAUGAGAUCUUGCUUGAAUGCGUGUGUACUUUUAAGGCAUGAAACCACUGCAGAAACUCUUGAGUUCAUCCUUGCUCAGGGACGAGCAAGAGGUAAGCUUGGGGGAGUUUGUUGACGGUCCUUAAGUAUCAAAUUUAAUUAUCAAAUAAACAAAGAAAAGGAUCCAAAUGAAAUCAACAUCUAGACUUAGGGUUUUAUCUGACAGAAUUCCAUGAGUUUUGGUGUUUGUCUAUUUCUGCAGGGGGUUAUCAGGAAAUAAGGAAGAAAGGCCCACAUGUCAGGAUUACAUAGAGAUAUCAACGCACCGCGCAAUUUUCUACCAUCUAGAAGACUCCAGAAGCCACGAGACCGAAGCGGAGGCGAAACGGGGCCAGGACCUGGGCGCCCGCCCACCUGCCGAGCCCAAUCAGGACUCUUUCUCUCGGGAGAUCUCCACCGACCUAUUGGAUUCAGAAUAACGUAGUACCACCUCGCCUACCGACCCAAAAACGCAUAGAAGGGGAGGACUAUAUAAGGAGACCCCCUGGCCCCUGGAGAAGACAAGAAAUUAUCAUAGAGAUUGAGGGGUUCCCUCGAAAGAAAACCUCUUCUCUAAAUAAUAUUUCUUUUUAGGCUUAGCAACCAAUGUAAAGUAGAAAUAGAUCUUCUAGUUUCUACUAGAUUGAGAGAGAUAGAGUGGAGGUGUGGAUCGGAGGAAGGCCGGCCUGUCGGUGUCUACUCCGAGUUGUACCUGUGGGAUCAAGUCUCCUAACCCGAGGCUUGCUUCUAAGAUUCUUCAGUAAUUCGACUUCUAAUUCUAGUAAGUUCUUGUUUUAUUGUUCUUUGGUUUAUGAGUUUACUUUAAUCCUCUUCCGGUUGAGUAUUAGAGUAAUCACUUGCUAGCGUAAACGUGGUGUUUAGGCUAGGGUACUCAUAGAUAUCCCCUAACUAGCUGGACCGUGGUAGUAGCGAGGAACGUGACAUUUCCGAGUUACCUUUGUAUCCCAUAUCUUGUUAGCAGGACGGGUAGGUUUAUAGGUGCGGGUCGAACAUCCUUUGUGUUGUCUAGAUUCCGUGAGCCUCCCCAAUAGAACGGUAGAUCAUCCUUACCAAGGUUAGAACGAGACUACGGUUGCAGUCUUCUCUAUACAUCACUCACAUCGAGAGACAUUCUUUGUAGCCUAAAGGGAUAGUAGCAAUAGAUUUGGUUAGUCAGAUGCACCCUUUCUCCCAGUGGUAAAAAUAUAAAUACGAUACUUUGGAAAACCUCCCGGGUGAAAUGCUCACCGAUAUCCGUGCGCUUGCGGAUCAUUUUGUAAUUGCGUUACCAAAUAUCAACAGCCGUCCCAGCUUGAAGGCGUGCAUCCGAUCACUGCUUCGAACAAAAUUGUCAUCCGAUAAGUUGAACAGCUCGUUCAUCAGCUGCUGGACCUCCGCCUUCUCUAGACCAUCCGGGCACAUUCUGGUCGGGUCUUGGCUCCCCGCAUACUCGUACGCCGAGUGUAUCCUCCUCUAGCAAGGCAUCACCCGACGCACAAGGAAGUUCCCGACCACUCCUGGCCCAUCUAAGCGGGACCAGUCGAUCAGGCUCAUCAGAUCUGCCACUUGGCCCUCGUACUCUGGACGGUCCGUCCAGCGGACCCUCUUCUUGGGGAUGUAGCCCACGUCGCAGAACGUGGCGCUGCCCGGUUCUUCAUGGAUGUAGAACCACUUCUUGUACCAUUCGGUGAGAGAAGUGUUCUAUGGGCAGCUGAGGUACCGGUUCUUCAUCCCAUCGCGCAGAUUGAGGUAUACUCCACCUGCAAUCUUGGAGCCUCCAACUGCCCCUUUCUUCCUCAGACAGAAAAGAUAGCGAAAAAGAUCGAAGUGCGGCUCUAUUCCAACAUAGGCCUCGCACAAAUGAAUAAAGGUGGAAAGAAGGAGAAUUGAGUUCGGGUGCAAGUUGUAGAUCCCGAUCUCAUAGUAAAGAAGGAGGCCUUGAAGAAAAGGAUGAACUGGAAUCCCAAAACCCCUCUUGAAGAAAUCCUCAAAAACGACAAUCUCACCAGCAUGGGGGUCGGGGUAGCUUUCCCCCUCUGGCGCCCUCCAUCCUCUGAGUUCUUGGUUGUGAAGGAGCCCCUUCUCGACGAGGUCGUUGAGAGACCGUGUGUUGCUCCGAGAUUUUUUCCAUUCUUUGGCCAUCAUCUCGGCCCUCUUCUUGGCAUCACUCUUCGCCAUCUCAACUCUCGAAAAGUCUCGAGCUCGGUUUUGGGGUUUGAAGGUGGUGAAGAAGAUGGAGUUUCUGGCAAUAGUAUGCAACUGCUGGGUAAAAAGAAAGGAUACGACCUUGAGCCUUUAUAACAAAAACUUCGCCUCUUCCACUUCCCGCAUUCUUGGGAAGUGGGCGGAUCCUGCGGCGGCUGUGGCGUUUCGGUUUUCAAUAAUUACCGUCAAUUAAUAUGGUGGCUUUUCUACAUAAUUGGUGCUUUCCUUUUCUUGAACCACACAAAGAGCAGCUGCACAGUUACCAGGCGCACCUUUUUACGCAACAGUCUGACAAUGACCUAGGAUGCCUUGUCACAUCACGCAUUAAUGUGGCGAGAUGCUUUUUCUAAAAGACAAGCGGAUCUGGUGGAGGACCGUACAUGACAUACUCGGGGACUGGUCGACCAGCACGCCCAUUUGAGCGUCUGGGGACUGUACCGACCACCAAGCAUUAUAUGCUCGGGGACUGGUCGACUAGUCUGUUCCAUUGCAGACGAGCAUGAUAUGCUCGGGGGCUGGUCGAUUAGUCUGUUCUGUUGCAGACGAGCAUUAUAUGAUCGGAGACUGGUCGACCAGCACGCCCAUUUGAGAGUUUGGGGACUGUACCGACCACUGAGCAUUAUAUGCUCGGGGACUGGUCGACCAGCACGCCCAUUUGAGAGUUUGGGGACUGUACCGACCACCAAACAUUUUAUGCUCGGGGACUGGUCGAUUACUCUGUUCCGUUGCAGACGAGCAUGAUAUGCUCGAGGACUGGUAAAUUCAAUUUUUUAGACCUUGCUACAAGGCUCAUACUUCACCUUCCAGCAAGCUCGGAGACUAUAUCGGUACGAUGCAUCUGGCGAUGCAUCUCAGUUUUGGAAUUUCUAUGAAGACUUUUUUGACCCUGGUACCACGUGCCUACGUCAUCUACUACCAGGUUCGGGGACUAAGUGGGCACACUUCACCUUGCGGUGAACAUGCUUGCUUUUUGAAAGUCUAUACUUUUUAGAAAAGUAAAGUGGGCACACUUCACCAGGAAAGAAAUCUUUUUUGAUUAAGAGCACCAUGCAUUCUUCGAACAACCUACUUCUUCGAUGUCCAUGUUGAUCAACUGCCUUUUGAGUUGGUUAAAAUACCGUUGCAACUGUUUGGGCAAUUUUCCUUCUUAUUGAAGACGUCAAGCCUCACUAGUCGAAGAAGCUCAAGACGGCGUGUUACAUCACAAUACAUGGUGCUCGGGGACUAGCUGUGGGGGUAUAAAUCCCUAUACCCUUACGGCUAGACUUGGGCCAGGAGGCUUGGCCCAUCACGAAGACAGUCCGAGGCUUGAUCCAACUGCUCGGAGUUUCGCGCAAGGAAACAAGACGUGGAGAUCAAGCCGAAUUCUAGUCGGUUAGAAUAGGAAUUGAUAUUGUGCUAUCUAUGGCAAUUGUAACCGACUAGGAUUAGUUUCCAGAUUUGUAACCCUGCCCUCUGGACUAUAUAAAGAGAGGCAAGGGACCCCCUAGGUAAUUCAUCUCAACACAAUCCAAUACAAUCAGACGCAGGACGUAGGUAUUACGCCCACGCGGCGGCCGAACCUGGAUAAAAACCUGGUCUGUGUCUUGCGUCACCAUCAAGUUCGUAGCUUGUGCACCGUCUACCGAUAAACUACUAUCGUGGGUAUACCCUAAGGUAGACUGCCGACUAGCUUUCGUCGACACACGUGAUAUACGAGAAAGAUUUGGUUCAGGUAAUUAUGCAUGUGGUUCAAGCAUCUAUCUAAAAAAAUUGUGACCACUGCCACCAUUGUGAAGUGUUCCAUAAAUAUGUUUAAUAUCCUUUGCCAUUGCCAAGACACAUGUUUUUUUCUCUACACAUUCCUUUGAACGCAGAUGCUCAAAAUUGGGGACAACAUUGACAUACCCUGGAUUGCCAAAGCACUGGAUUGUUGCACGGCAACACCAAAGUGUAGAGGCACAAGCUUGCAUUGAGGGGAUGGCAUGAGGUUAGGUUCAGCGGCAACUACUUAAGGUCUUGUUUUUCUAUCCCAACUAAUAAUUUUUGGUUUGCUUCGUCAUGUUAUUUUGGGAAGCAAGACAUGUCAUUAUCUACAAUUGCCUUGGGUACAAAAGCUUUGUCAAAUUGUUUGCAAGGUUCAGAAGGAGCUGCUCCUUUUAUUGACUAAAAUUAUAAAAACAGUACCUACUGCAAGAGAGAUUGAAUCUAAUUCUAAUGCAUUUUGGGGACUCUGGUUGUAAUGAUAAAGUUUAAAAAACGCUGGCCAUAUUGAAUUAAUCUUGCUCGAUGUUGCCUCUCCUGCCAAUUUGCCAUAUAAGUUGAUUGGUUCUGUCUCAUCUAUUUAGCUAUUGCACACCAAUUAUAUUGCAUGCAGACUCAUCAGGCUUACUUUAUAAGUGUACUUUACUAAUAAUUAGUGUUACCUAUAACGCUAUGACACUAAAAACGACAUCCUUAUUCUUUUUUGCAAUGUUUCCUUCUCGACUGCAUAUGUCGAGUGCUUUCCGCAAGCCAUCUGAAAAAAAGGUUUAAAAUGUUGCUACUUUUUUUUGCAUUAGAAGAACAUUAAUUCCUCAAAACAAAAUAAAGGUUUUGUACGAAUGUUUGUGUAUUUGUUAAAACAUUUUGACUCAGUAAAUAAAGUCCCUUUUGUAUUUCUUCUUCUUCUCUAUUACGAAUAUAAUCAAAUUUACUAUUUUGCUUCAAAUGAUUUGUUUUCUAUUAAUCCCCUUACUCCAGUCAGUGUUUCUUCGUAUAUCUCUUACAUCACUUAGUUUCAAAUUAGACAUGGUUAUGAAAACAAAUACUUUAGAUUACUGACUCAUAAACAAUUGAACAGGUUUAUCUAAAUCAAUUGGGUGUCAUUUGAAGCUAUUCCAACUUAAGCUGGUGUUGGCUCCUUUCAGCCUGCACAAAAGGAGAGAAGUGCUAUAUUAGAGUGAACAUGAUCCUUGCCACCAGCAAGUAACAGGGGAAGGUGAGGUGAGAAUUAGAAUUGUCUUCAAUUUUAGGUGUUCAUGCCGCUUCAUUUAGAGCACCUUGAGGAAGUUCGUGUCUUAGGAUGAUUAGUAUAGCUAUAGCUUACCUUAUUUGUGGAAGGCUGCAAAAUCUAGAUUUUACCAUCGCAUCAAUUUUAAAGUUCAAAGGUCCAAUUCAAGACUGCCAUGACUUGGCUACAUCACUUAAAGUAAAAGAGUCAACAAAAUUUAAGUUCCUAACAGAGUUGCUUUUCUCUAAAACUAUUUUUAGCUGCAAAGGAGUGCCUUAAUAGAAUAUUGAAAUCUCACAUGUGUUACAAAUAUGUAAUAGUUGAUGCUAAUAAUUCUGUAUUGACAUUUUCGUAGGCCACUAAUGAAUUUUCCAUAAGAAACAAAAGACAAUUUCUUCGUUUUUGCUUUGUAUAUAUGUGACUGACAUGUCAAUGAUUUUUUUCCCUCCUAUGACGCUCUUGCCCUUGUGAUGUGUCUUUACAGCACACCAUUUUAGAUCAGAUAUAACCUCUUACUAACACUAGCACAGUUCUUCCCAAACAACGCCUCACUGUUCACAUCUCCGGAAUACCACCACAUCGCUAUUGUGAUUUCACAGUCCACUGUCUUCUCAGUGAAACAUGCACAAUCCAUGCCAUCUCAUUUUGUCAUGCAACAUUAUCGUACUCAGUUGAUGUUCAUGGAUCACAAACCCUCAUGUCUCAAGCAGCACAUGUAGCACUUAGUAUGAUAACACGCUAUGGUUGUCUCCUCAACAUUUGGCCAAUAUGGUAUGACACAUAUAUGGAAGAAAUGCUUGGCCGACUAUCCUCGACAACCUAUGACCGGAUGCCAUCUUUGCAUGGAGGUAUUCACAUCCACAUCUGCAGUCUAAAUGAAAAAAAUAAUAGCACAACAUAAGUCGAAAACAAGAGAAGCUCUCUUUUUUUUUCUCACCAUCUUUUACUUGACCAUUUACAGGAGACACUCAUCUUGACAUAGAGGAGCAACAUGAAGCAUAUACGUACUCAGGUAUGUAAACACACUAUAAAAACAAUAUAUUAAUAAACAACACCAUAACAUAGACAAAACAAUUACUUUUAAUGUACCAGACGACCAGAACAAAGACACCUCCCAACCACUAAGCAAAUAAAUUUGCAUUGCAUUUUGCCUACACCUCACACUACUGAUACUUUGCAUACUAACAUAUAGCGAUGACACCCCUUCCUGAUUCUCGACAGGCAAAACACCGUACCACACCAUCCUGACACGGACUCAUCCAUCAACAUUUCACGUGAAGCAUGAACAUUGGUUAAUAGUGAUGUCUACAGCACAACCACCAAAACUCUUAAACCCAUAGCUCGCUUUCCUGUAUAAUAUUUCGGGCGCAUACUGUCAAAAUGUCUUUGAACACCACAUCUGACACAAAUAAAUUAGCACCCAACUGGAUAAUUGUGUCGUGUAAUAUACCAACCCAGCGCCCUAUGAUGCUUUGGUAUGUUGAGCCAAAUUCAGCGUGUACCAAACCUAAUGACUACUAUGAUAUAUACUCUUUUAUAUAUAAUAAAUACUAUGCUCUGUACAUUCUCCUUAAAUACCAUGAUGGCUCACUCAGGAUUGCUUAUGCUAAAGCGCAAAUGCGCGCGCCAUCAACUAGUCAAUAAAAACACCCGAACCGAACCGGCGGCGGCUGCUCGCCUGCCCGACCCGGACCCGUACUCGGGCAUUUUUUCUUUAGCGACCCGUACUCGGGCAAAUGUAAAGCUUGAUCACUAUGAAUCCAGAACUCGAGAGAAACAGCCCAGACAGCCCACGACCGGCCCAGUCUCAUCACAAACGCACGCGCACGUCGCCGUCGCCAUCGCCCCGCUGUAACCCUACCCUAGCCGCCCCGAAGCUUCCCGUCCUUCUCCUUGCGGCGGCCGCGGGCGGCGCGGCGAGUCGGCGGCCACCCGCCCCCAUCUCCUACUUGAGCCUCCCAACCUCACCGGCGCUGUCCGCCUCCUCCCCCUCCCACUCCGCACCGUAGAUCUUUCUCCUCGGCGCUCGGGAGGACCACUCAAUCCACCUUCACUUCACCGUGCGGGAUCUGAUCGCAAUCGGAUCCCCCCCGCCGGCGCCGCCGCCGCCGGGGUCGCCUCCCCGGGAGGAGCCCCGGGCCCGACGAGACGGAGGCGAGGGUAGACGACGGAGGCGAGGAGGACGAGGAGGCGGGGGAGGGGAAGCCCAUGCCGGCCGCCGGGGCCCGCCGCUCCACUCGCGUCUUCAUGCCCAAGGCGCCCAAGCCGCCGCAAUCCCAGGACCAGGCCGACCCCGCCACCCGGGUCCUCCGCUCCGGCAAGCGCCUCGCCGCCGACCGGAUCCGCUGGGACGCCAAGGAGGCCCCAGCCUUCCACGUCGACAUCAACCACGGCCACGGCCACGACCAGCAGCACCAAAAGGAGGAUUGCCCCAAACCGGGAUUGCCACCUCUGACGAAGUCCUUCGGGAUCGUGUACAGUAGGAAACGCCGCCGCCGGAGGCACUCCGCCUCCGAGGUCGUCGCCGAGGACGAGGACGGCAGCAGGAGGUUUGGGAUAGUAUAUACCAGGAGGAAGGGCAAGCGAUCGAAGGUCAGCCAUCUCCUUCCGCAAGAGCGAGCGGUCCCCUGUGACCUCGCCGCCGCGAUUCCAUGCUCCUCCUCCCUUGAGUUUGCGUCAAGAACUGGCUUCUUGGAUGCCCAUUUAUCGGCCCUUGUAGAUGGUGCCGCCACUCACUCUGGGGCUCAGACGCUGAUCAUCCUUGUUGAUACGUCUUGCCCUGGGAGCUCUCACCGGCUCCUUGGCCUUCUUCUACCCAUGCUGCGGUGGAUGUGCCGCAGUAGGCAGCGUGGAAAGUUCCAGAACCUUGCUACUUUCAUCAUGUCUGCUGGCGUAGCUGCUGCGUUUGCAUUCCAUGGGGUGCACUUUGUCAAGCUCCAGCGCCGGAGUGCCGUAAGCUUUCUACAGCCUUCAUCAGCCCUAUUUUGUUUCUGGUAUAAUUGGUGUAACAUUUGUGCUUCUUUCUGCAGUCUGCAUUGUUACAUAGGCCUCUUGCGCACUGUGGGUGGUGUGCGCUUCAUGGUUCCAAGAUAUCUGAACCGCUUCUGUCAGUUGAUUUCUCAGCACUUCCUUCAUACUUUUGGAGCUUGCAAUAUGCUGUAGCUCUUGAAUCGAUGUAUCUGCCAGCUAUGAUUCGGCACAGCAGGCUGCUGGAUGGGGGAUCUGAAGAAAUCUAUCCUCACACUCCUUUGUAUUUGGAUUCUGGGGCUCAAAGCAGUGGUUUUGCCACUACUGACGUGGGCAGCAAUGAACCUUGCAGAGUGGUUCCGAACUACAUGCCCCUUGAACAAGUUGCUGGACUAGUGGCACAUGGUCUGAGGCUAAAGAAGCAUCAAAGGCGGAGGAGAACUAUGAGACAUCCUCGAAAUCGGCGGCGGCUUAUAACUAGAUUACCUGACAAUGGAAUUGGGAUGAAGCACAGCAUGGCUGCCACGCAAACAGAAUUAAAGCUGCGAUCAAGUAGGCAAGAACCUCCAGUGGAGCCUCUCCAACCUAAAGCAACAUUAGAAAUUUCUCUUGAUUUGCUUGAAAACAUGGAUGAAAGUGAUGUUUCGACUCCCAUGGGAUCAACUAGGAGAAAGAGAUCUUCUUUGAAGAGCCCUGUCGAGAGAAUGAAUGAAAAGCUGGCCUUGGCUGAGGUGAGACAGAACAUAGAUUCUGUUCACAGCAAAGCAAACCUUCUAAAUCUUCAAGCUGAUAGGUGCUGGAGGGAAGAGGGUGCUGAAGUUAUGCUAGAACUAUCAGAUACCAAUAAGUGGUGUAUAGUUGUGAAGAUACAAGGUGUUACUAGGUACUCUCUUAAACCUUCAGAUAUGAGGUCAUAUGUCGUUAAUCGUCAUACUCAAGCCUACAUGUGGGCAGUUGAUGAUGCAUGGAAGCUUGAGUUCACUGAUAAGUGGGACUGGCUGUUAUUCAAAGAGUUGCAUGUUGUGGGCCGUGAGCGUAAUUCCCAGGGGAAGACGAUCCCAAUUCCUGGGGUACAUGAAGUUUCUGAUGACAUGGAAGGGAUUGUUACAGAUCCUUUCUCACGCCCUGUGCCAGACUAUAUCAGGAUGGUGGAUGAUGAAGUUGGACGAGCUAUCUCAAGGGAUUCUAUUUAUGACAUGGAUUCAGAGGAUGAACAAUGGCUCAUUCAGUUGAAUCAUGCAGAUUCUGAUCCAAACAGCUCUCAAAGGGACCAUAUCUCUUACGAAGACUUUGAGAGGAUAAUAAGCAUAUUUGAAAAGGAUGCCUACAACAAUCCCCAAGGAAAAAAUGAUUUGAGUGAGCUUCUUCCCAGAUAUCCUGCUUUAGGAAAUGAUGAGAAUGUGCAUGCUGUGUAUGAAUAUUGGACAAGUAAGAGGUCCAAGAGAGCUGCACCAUUGCUAAGGGUAUUUCAGGUAAUUUUGGGGUUUCUCAUACCCAUUUCCAAGCUCAACACUGCUUUGUUAUAUCAUUUCCCUUUUCUACUGUCUAGCCUUGAUUAUACCAUCUACUGAUACCAGUUACCUAUUACCAAAGCUUAAUUCUUUUUACAGCUAUGUCCUGUUAUUUCUCUUUUUGUCAAGCUUUCAUUCAGUGUAUAUUAUCUAAUUGAUACACUGUUUCAACCUUAGGGUGCACCCAUAAGGCGAGGACAUCUAUCACAAAAGUCUGCCAUGAAGCGAAAGAGAUCUUUUAAGAGACAAAAAAGCCAAGCCGGUCGUGGAAAGCCUGAAGCUUUAUUGCUAGGUAAUUACUACUGCAUAAAAAACCCUACUGAGCAAUACAUUUAAAUCUGAUAAUGUGGAAAUCCAAUCAGGAGACAGAUCUUAAUCACCUUCAAUUCUUGCGCUGUUGGAUGAGUCCCCUCCCCCACCCACCACCACCACCCAUAGAAAGAACCAUGUUUAUCUCCUUUGUUUAACAUUUGAGAUCCAUAGCAUUAAGACCUUGUCAUGGACUUCCUUCUUCUGGGGCCAAUCUUGCUAUGCACUUGUCAACAAAAUUAAAACAAUAAAAUAUGUGCCCUAAGUAUGAUACAUCUAAAAGCAACUCCAAGAGACUCUCUAUAUCAUUCCUAAUUGCUAGAAAUAGAGAUUUUGAUGGAAAAAUACUCUCCAGCAGCUUCUUUAAAUGGUUAUCCAAAUAUAGCCAUCCUCUAUUCAGUAUUUCUUGCUUAGCCUAAGUUAGUGAAAAUGGCUCUCUAGAGUGUGCUCAAGAUAUAGAAAGGCCGUUGGAGAGUGGAAAGAUAUAGAAAGCGAUUUUUAUGCAGAUGGCUUUGCAAACGAUGAUUUAGAGAGCUAGUUUUAGAAAGAUUAUUGGAGAUGCUCUAAUGGCAUUAAUCGGUGGCCAAUCUAGUAUUUAUCACAUUACUAUGGUUCUACAGAGGUAGAAUAAUCUUAUUUCAUUUGUUUGUGCAUUAUGGUUGACAGACAAUGCUGAAGAGGAGGCAGCUUUGCAGAGAGUUGCCCAAGCUGAACGUGCAGCAAAACAGGCUGUAGAAACAGCUAUUCGACUGCGCAACAGAGCCCAGUCUCUCAUGACAAACGCAGAGCUCGCGGCAUACAAAUCCAUCAUGGCUCUCAGGAUUGCCGAGGCUGCUAGGAUAUCUGACUCUUCACGAGAUAUUGUUUGUACUAUCCUCGACUAAAGAAGAAUAUGGGCUGUUCAUUGAUUUGUGUGGAGGACGUGGGAAUACUCUUUUUUCUUUGGUUGCAUCAUCGCCCAUGAUAUUGGCUUUUCGAUAAGCUGUGGGACUAUUUUUACCCCCUCUCGUGUUGUUAACUUUGUCAGGCCAAUUUUGAGGCGAAUGCUUGAACUGAAAACUGUAAUUUCUUGUAUAAAUGAAAGUAGCUAGCUAGAUUCUGUAUGUUAUGGGAACUGAUGUUCUGUAGAAAUGAUGAAAGAAAAAGUAAAAAAAAAAAAAGCAUGAGAUGAAGGGAAAUCAAGCAUCUGUUUGCAUCCCUUUGUCUUCAGUGAUAUAUGUUAUCUUUAAUGUGUCCCUUUUCUCUGUUUUUAUCAGUGUGUGUAGUGUCUCUUCUCUGAAAUUAGUUGCUUUAUAUAUAUCUUGUAAAAAUGUAAAUAAUAUUUGCCAUCGACUGUUGUAAUUGAGCCAUUGAAAUUUGUUCCCAUAAUGGAAGUAGUGAAGUAAAGGUAAUAAUAUUUUGGUUGACCCAUCACUCAUCCUAUGCUUAUUGACUCAGUUUUAUUUCACCAUGGUCCAUUUGCUAUAUUUUGAUUUAUUUCCACUUAGUUAUCUAUACAAUACUCCUAAAGUUGGAGCACUGGAGCCCUCUCACAAAUCACCAGCACCCCCUCACACAGCACUGUUCCAAGCACAGUAACAUUUUACCACCGCAGGAUCUCUAACCUCCUCACUACAACCAUCCAUGUCUUCCACGUUCCGGGUUUCUAUCCUAUCGCAUCUCCUCCUGAAUUAAAAAAAAAAGCAUAUCAUAUUCCCUCAUUCCCUCGUCAAUCAAAAAAAGAGUACUGCAUCGGCUACAUCCUCGCUUCAGACCGUGGCAUCCCCGGGACGCCAUCCUCCUGCCGUGGGCACCUCGCCUCAUCCUAUGAUUCGCCUCCCUUUGCGCUCCUCCACGAUGCGCCCAUAUACUGGGUGCCGCGGGUGCCCGUAUAUUGGACCUAUAACCUAUAUGUACAUAUUGGUUUCAGAGCACAGUCUUCACGAUUGGAGCUGCAGCAUAUAUGUAAAUAUGCACUUCUGUUUUUACUGCUUUAUGCUUCUACAAUACACUUUCAGUAACAGAAGUGAUAUCACAACAUUUUAUCACUUCCCUACCCCUUGUGUUGCGCAGGGUUUCCUGCUAGUCUUCACUAUUUUUUGUGUGUAUUCGUUGUUGUUUAUUUGUUGAGAUAUUUAUCUGUAUAGCCUUAAAAAACAUGUCUUUUUCUUGUGGCCUUAUUUUUUUAAGAGUAAAGUUCAUUAUCAGUCCCUAAACUUGUCUGGGUAUGUCAUCUUGGUUUCUAAACUUGCAAAACGAUACCUGAACUUGUUUGGUUGUAUCAUCUUAGUCCCUAAAUAUGAAAAUCUCUCAUGUAGGUCCUCAAACUUGUUCGAUUGUGUCAUCCAGAUCCCUAAACUUAUUUUUAAGUCUCAUUUGGAUAAAAGAAGUCGAAUCUAAAAACUCUAUAUCAAAAAAUAACUCAUAACUUUUCAUAUGAACUCAAAUCAAGAUAAACUAUCAAAAUUAUAGCCAGCAAUGCGAUCUACAACUUUAUAGUUGAAAACUUUUUAAAUUAAAAUCAUCUAGGGUCCCAAAAUGUUUUUUGUACGUUUAUAGGUUUCAAAAUUUAAAAAUUUAAAAUAAAUUUUGUGACACUAAAUAACUUAAAAUAAAAAAUUCUACUACAAAGUUGUAGAUCGUGUUAAGGGCUACAACUUUGAUAUAAGUUUUUCUUCAUUCGAGUUCAUAUGAAAAAGUUAUAAAUUAUUUUUUCCAUUUAGAGUUUUUAGAUCGCUUUGUUUUGACCUAGAUGAGAUCUAAAACCAAGUUUAGGUACUGGGAUGAUACAAAUUAAUAAAUUUGUUGACUUAAAUGGGUGAUUUCUAAGUUUAGGGACUAGAAUGACAUAGCUAAACAAGUUUAGGGACUGGGAUGACAUAGACGAACAAGUUCAAGGACGUAAAUGAUCGAUUUACGAGUUUAAGGACCGAGAUAACACAAAAGUACAAGUUUAAGGACCGGGGUGGACUUUACCAUUUUUUAAAUUUAUGUGACCUUAAAAUACAUGUGCCUUAUUUUUCUGUGGCUCAUUGUUUUUUUGAAUUUACCUACAUGGCCCGAGAACAAAAAAUCUCUUUCUUCUAUCAUCUUUCGUCCAAUUUAGACCACUAAAAUAUUUUCCUUCUUUGGUCUUUCGUCCAAUUCAGGCCACUGAUGGUGUGUGGAGUAAAAUGGACGAAAAGAAUAAAGUUUUAGCAGAAAAAUUGUAUCAUCGUAUGAAGACGAUUUUUAUAUUAUAAUUGUAGCUCUUAAUAAGAUCUACAAGUUUCUAGUUUUAAGUUUUUUAAUUUAAAAUCUUUAAGAUACUCAAAAAUAUUAAAUAAAGUUUUAGUAGUAUAUUAAUCGUGUAUAACACUGGUCGUCUUGGAAAAAUUAUAUAUUUCUUAUAUGAUGUUAAAUAGAGAUGCAUUAUAAAUGAAAGUUAUAGCUUUUAGUAUAAUCUACAAUUUUAUAGUUUUAUUUUUUUCAUUUAAGAUUAUUAAGAUGCUCAAAAAAUAAUAUAAAUUUCAGCAGCAAAUUAAAUCGUGUACAAGCCUAGAAACUACAAUUUAUGUACUAUAACGUGUGACCUUAUUUGCGGAAUAUUACUCUAAAUCUAAAACAAACAAACUAAUGUAUAUUUAGGUUUGUUACAAAAGCUAUAUUUUGAAAAAAGUCAGAAUAAUUUAUAAUUUGGAACAGAACGAGUAGGAUUCAUAUGGUGUUAUUUUGUGUGUGCAAUGGUUACAAAAUGCUAAUUUGAAGCUAACUUGUGUCUUUGCUAAUUAUUGCUUGACUUUGUUCUUUUUUAUCCAUGUGUAUUUCUGUUCGUACUUUGUUAGAGCAACUCCAACCAUUAUACAAAUGGAUUUGGCAUUUACCAAAAUGCAUAAAACUCUAAAAAAAACCCCUCCAAUCGUUAUGCAUUUGGACUUUGCAUUUUACAUAACUAUGUAUUUGGAGGGGGAAACUUGGCAUAUAUGCCAAAGGAGUCCGGCUAUGCAAAUAGAGAUCACGGGAUUCUCAGUUCCACCUCGCGGGCUUUUUUCUUCCCUUCGCGCGGUUUCCCUUCGCGCCGCCACCACUUCGCGCGAUAGGAGAAGCAUUGCGCGUCCUCCUUCGCCAGCUUCGCGCGCGCGUUUGGACGAAGCGGCUAGAUCCAUUCUCCGGUACCCUCGAUCCCAUGUUGGCUUCACGAAAUUCUGCUGCUCGCGAGCUGCAACGGCUUGACUGAUGGCGGCGACCUGCCUUGACGACGAACUGAUGGCGGCGAUCGGAAACUAAUGGGGAACAUGACCUGAUGGAGAUCGGUACUGGAGCCAAGGGGCGAACCUGUACGACGACGAACUGAUGGCCAACAGACGACGAACUGGUACGGUGAACGGGAACUAACGGAACGGGCUACUGCGAGGCUGUUUGGCGCGAGAAUUGGUGAACGGGAGACGAUGGCGGGCUGUUUGGCGCGGGAUCGAUUGGCCGCGCGGGAAGGAGUGCCGCGAAACAAAAUUUCCGGAAAAAAAAAGAUGAUGGACUUGACAUUUUGCAUAACGGUUGGAGAUCACCCGAUUUUAGCCUUGCUAUUUUCAUUUGGGGGUUUGCAAUUUGCCUAAAAUGCAUAACUUCAAAUGCAUAAUGGUUGGAGAUGCUCUUACACGAUGCAUCUGUGUAGGGCCUAUUUAAUUCCUCAUUUGGGCCAAAAAAUUUUAUGUUUUGGUUCACCAUUUUGCAGAAUGAAAUUAAAUAUCAUCUAAAUUUUUUAGAGUUGCCAUUUUGCACUAUAGAUUUUGGUGUCAAGAGCCAAAAAAAGCAUCUUCAUGUAUUUUGGACCCUAAAAAUUUUAGCAUUUUGGAUGAAACUAAACACACCUAUAAAAUUUGGCAUUUUACAUUUUAUCAUUCUAAAGUAUUUGGUAUUUUGCAUUCCAUUGAAAACUAAACACGCCCUAUGUAUUAUCUAAUAUACGAUUUUUUUUUCAAGUUAGCCAUUUUCAAUAUAAGAUAUUUUUCAUAAACUCGUAUACUAGUAACUUUUUUGUACUGUAUUGUAUUGUUGAUGGUAGUUGUAUACUUGUGUUAGAGCCCAUUCACUGGUGCGAAAAGCUAUGAGAGAAAAAUAUCGCUGCCUGACAGGCUAAUAUUUGUUUGAGAUAUAAUCGGCCCCUUGCACUGUUGCAUGAUUGGGUAUUAGCACCGGUCGGGAAGGGUUCUGUUGCCUCGGUUCCCGAGCCGGUGCUGCCCUUCCGGGACUAAAGCCCCACCCUUUAGUCCCGGUUCGGGAAACCGGGGCUAAAGCCCCCCCUUUAACACCAGUUGGUAAUACACCAACCGGUGUUAAAGAGGGCAGGACUCUUUAACACCGGUUGGUAUUACCAACACCAACCAGUGUUAAAGGGGUUCUUUUUUUCUUUUUUUUCGGUUCAUUUCUUCGGUUCUGUUUAUUGUUUUUAUAUAAUAAUAAUAGGUUUGUCAAUACAUAUUUUAUGCUGAUAUAAUAUAUAUAUAUAUAUAUAUAUAUAUAUAUAUUACACGCAUAUUAAGCAUAUAUAAAUGGAAAUUAUAGGCUUAGCUUUAUAAUUAAGCUUUGCCUAUAAUAAAAUAAAUAGUCCACAUCAAUAAUUAAAUAGAUGGAUAUGUAAAAAGCUUUAUAUAUAGUUUUAUAAGUACAAAAUUCGUAACACAUAUAUACAUAGAGUUUUUUCUCCCAAUGUCUAAAACCGAUACAAAUGAUCAUCGUUGUUUAGAAUAAGAGUUCCGUUGCCGUUGAAGUGAAACUCGCCGUUUGGAUUGAUCACUUUCUCACGGAGAAAUCCUGGUAUCGUCUCUUGAGUAGCUUUGAUGCGGUCUUUUUGCAUGACCUUUUCCCUCAACCAUUCCGUCUUUAAUUUGAAAUAAAAUAAAAAAGGUAUUAGUUAUCUAAGUUAUUUAAUAUAAUUAUGGAGAUAAUGAAAAGAGAUAUGCAACGUACUCUGAGCAUCUCUGUGGGUGUUUGAUUGACUUUUGCCAUUAUGAAUUUGCACAUGUAAUAUGCACAUAGGUUGUUUCCCCCUUCUUGUGUUAAACACCACUGUACGAUAUAUAUAAAAAAUAUUCACGACCACGACAAUAAGAAGGCUAAAAGUUAGCGAAAGUUUGCUAGCUAGUACAACUUACUUGUAGAUGAAUUAUAUUAAGAGGCGCUUUACAACCAAUGAGAUGUUCACGGUCAAUAAAUCUUUCCCAAACCCUACACACAGCCAUUGUGGAUCAUGAACUAAUAAUUACAGAGUCAUAUCAUGAUAUUCUUCUAGCUGAGAUCGAUAUUACGUACCUUUGAAUAAUGAUUACCAUUUACUGAUAAUUAAUUUUCUUGUGGUUUUCUCAUUGAGUCAAAGAUUAUCAACCGGUUCUUGGGAAUUUCAAUGACCAUGAGUAUCCAGUGAAAGCUGUUUAUAUAUAUAUAUAUAUAUAUAUAUAUAUAUAUAUAUAUAUAUAUAUAGUCAGGCCUAUAACUAUAUAAAACUCGUCUCGAGUAAUAAUAAGUAAAAUAAAAUGUGCAUGCACUUAAUAACUAUAUAACUCACUCGAAGUUGUAGGGGAAGAGUAUGUUUGUUUUUCUUUUUGGUUCACAAAGAACCUCAUAAGAUUGGUGCAGACUUCUGUCUCAUGAGAUGUUGUCCACACUGCGUGCGGAGCCUUGAAAACAACAUAAGGGUCAACGAACCCAAUACUAUUGCCAUUUUUGCUUCUGAGCUCUCUCAUUUGGUGCCUGCAUAUAUACAUACAAAUUCUAAGUGUGUAAGGAUUAUAUACAUAUAAUUAAAGAAGGUAGAAGUUUAAUAAAAAAAAUACUUACAGACAAAAGCAGCUGACAAGAGAUUUGUCGAAAGCAGCUGACAAGAGAUUUGUCGAGAGCGUCGUGGUGACAUAAUUGGUGCAAUUCUUCAAACUGGACGUAUAUGAGGUCAUCUCCACGAAAGUAGUGAUGUUGUCUAAUACGAACAGAAAUCCAAUUAUCUCCCCUUUUAGACGCCUCCAUACACCACUUGUUUAUUGCAAAUAUUUGUGUGCCGAGCUCAUGUAAAUGCUGAGGGUUGAAUAGACUCCUGUCCGGUUCAUAUCUUGUCCUCCAUUGAUCAACUACCUCAGCUUUUUCAAAAGUUUGGCAUCCAACAAUGGUGGCAAUGUCUUCAAUAUUUAGACCGCUCUGUCCAAAGUAAUGCUCAAGCGAAUCUAGCUCAUACAAGAUUAAGGAUUUCUUUAGCAUCAAGUCUUCAUUUGAGCCGUAUUGAUUUGGCACAAUCAAAGGGGCACCGAUUUUGAUACUUCUCCGAGCUGUGGGACCCUCUUUCCUACACUCUUUCUAGGCUGUGAAGACUUGACCAAAGACUGCUCAUAGUUUGAAAGUGUUGGCUUUUUCUGAGCUUCCCGCUUCUUCUUUUGCUGGUCCGCCACCUUCUUCCUCAGUUCCUCUGGCUUUACAUAAAAGUACAGCUUUUCUAGAUUUAGCCACUCUUUUCUUUCCUGCUUCAAUUUAUCGAAAAAUUAUUUGACCUCAGCUUUGGAUGUAGCAAUUACCUCCUCUUCACUCUUUUCAUAAGAUAAUUUCUCUGGUGUCUUAGCUUUCUUUGCUGAGGCAGCCUUCUUUGGAGGUGGGAUCGAUGACUUCGGUCGUUCUGGAGCGGACCGCUUCUGACUACCUCGCUUUGGAGGCGAUGGGACCGACCGUGUACUCUUUGGAGAGGGCGGUGGAGGUGGUGGGGCCGAUCUUUUUGGUGUUGGAGAACGUGGUGGAGGAGUUGGAGACCUCGGUGGAGGAGGUGGAGACCAUGGUGGAGGCGGUGGCGGGGUCGGUGUGGCCGCCGCAGGUGUUGGAGGAGAUCCAACAUUGUCACCGCCCACAGCACUAUGAUGCGCUGGGGAAAGAACUGGACUUAGGUUGGAGGAGUCCCUGCAGAGAAAACAAUAACAAGUUCUGUGAACAAACUUUAUUUAAAUGCAAUACAUAAUAAAUAAUAUAAGAAGUAAACAAUAGUGACAUUCCUAGAAUAAUUAUGAAGCGCUUGCGCCAACAAAUAAACGUCUUCUCAGCUUCACCUAAGUUCUUCUCUCCGUAUCCCCCUUCUAUUUCUAGAGGCACACUGCCACAACCUUUCUCAACCCUAUCAACCGAGACGCUAGCAUAUCCAGUUGGCACUGGUCGAUUAUGGAUUCUUGGAGUUCUCGUUUGGUCGAUAGGGUUGACAACACCGGUAGCCACCUUUUUUGUUGCAUUUCCAUCUGGUACAUGUAGCUCAUAAGUAGUAAAAGCCUCUGUAACAUCAUCCACGUGGAAGUGUAGCUUCGUGUCAUCCUGAAUGGUUGGUACUUCCGUGGAUGCGCAACUGCUUUUCAACUGGCCUGGGGGCUAACGUUGACCUCAGGCUGUGAUGUACCUUGUCCUUUCAUUAUUUGACUAAGUGCUGCUUGCACUUGCCUUUCAAUCUCCGCCUGCAUCCAUUCUUCAUGAGAUUUCUCGUGCUCUUGUGACUGCAGAACAAAAGCUUCCAGCCGGCGGAUCCGCUCUGCCUCCUCAUCCUUCUUUCUCUGGCGGCUUCUGUAGGUUUCUUGAUCAGCUUGGAAUGAUUGCAGCCAUGGAACUACCCCAUAGCCUCUCGUACGCCCACCGUGCUCAGGAUUUUCAAGCGCAUACGUGAGUUCAUCCUUCUUCCUGUUAGGCCUGAACUCACCAGACUGAACCACCUCUCCUGCAUGGACUAGUCUCUCUGCUACUCUAGAGAUUUCUUAGCCCCAAACUAGCACCCCGGUGUCUAGGUCCACGCUUUCCCCAUGACCGUAGAACCAAUGCUUGGAGCGCUCGCUCCAAUUCUUUGCUAUUGUCUCGGGUGUGACCCCCCUAAUAAGCAUCUCCUGUUCCAUUCUUUCCCACUUGGGAACAACACUCUUAUAACCACCUGAUCCCAUAUGAUGGUGGUAUGUCUUUUUACUUGCAUUUUCUUUGUUCUUAAUGGCUCGUUCCUCGCCCUCUUCUGAUAUUUUGUACUGCACGAAGUCAUCCCAAAAGGCCCUCAGCUUUACAUAUUGCUUGAGGUUGAAAUUUGGAGUCUCGUUUUUCUUGACAAAUUUAUUGUACAAAGACUUCUUCCAAUUCUGGAAUAGUACCGCCAUCUUCUUCAUAGUCUAGUCAUAAAUUCACACCUUCAACUCUUCAUCGUUAGUGUCGAAGGUGAAAACCGCCGUGCCGACUUUCCAAACUACUUACCACGAUCAGAGACAAAACUGAUUUCAGGAGCACCUCGCUUCUCUCUCCAUUCACGAGCACUGAUCGGUAUUUGGUCUCUCACAAGGUAUCCACAGUGACCAACAUAUUUAUUUGCAUGUUCACCAAGUGGUCUGCCUAUAGCUAUCUCAAACUCAGAGGUUACGUAGCGGCCCUCCAACGGCUUAUUUGGCCCUCGUGGAGGUAAGCUUCUCCCCGUAGAGGUCGAUCCAGAAGGCUACACGUAGAUAUAAAAACAAAAAUACUAAAUUAAUAACCAAGUAAGUCUAAAACCUAAUGUAAAGAUGCAUUAUAUAUGUUUACAUUUACAUACCUCGCCGGUAUUUCCUUCUUGUUGCACGACAAGUUGUUGCUCAGGCGCAUUACCCUCUUGUUGCUCAGGGGCAUUUCCCUCUUGUUGCUCAGUCGGAUUGUCUUGCACAAUCUCGUUGUAAUCAAUAAAGUACUGACCACUGUCGUCGAUCAUAUUUUGAAUGUCAUCUUCUAUAUAAUUAGGAUCAUCAUAAGGACGGUCGGCCAUUUCUAUGUCUGCAACCACAUAUACAUAUAUAUUCUAUAUAAGAUAAGAAAUACACUAGAAUAAUAUAAGUUCUAGAGUGCUCCAAACUAAAAAAUAAUACUAACAAUAACAUAUGAAAGUGCUAGAGUGCUCCAAACUAAAAAAUAAUACUAGAAUCCUUUAAGCCAAGUAAUACACUAGAAUAAUAUACUAAAAAUAAUACUAAAAAAUAAUACUAGAAUAAUAUACUAGCAAAAUAUAUUUCAUAACAAUUCAAAACACUACAAUUCAUAAUAUACUAGAAUAGUAUACUAAAAAGUCUUUUAAGCCAAGUAAUACACUAGAAUAAUAUACUAAAAAAUAAUACUUUAAAAUAAUACUAGAAUAAUAGUACAAACAAUAAUAUAUACAAAACUCUAGAAUUAAUAAUAUACUAGAAUAAUAUACUAAAAAGUAAUACUAGAAUAAUAUGCUAGCACAAUAUAUUUCAUAACCAUUCAAAACACUACAAUUCAUAAUAUACUAGAAUAAUAUACUAAAAAGUCUUUUAAGCCAAGUAAUACACUAAAAUAAUAUACUAAAAAAUAAUACUAAAAAAUAAUACUAGAAUAAUAGUACAAACAAUAAUAUAUACAAAACACUAGAAUUAAUAAUAUACUAGAAUAAUAUACUAAAAAGUAAUACUAGAAUAAUAUACUAGCACAAUACAUUUUAUAACAAUUCAAAACACUACAAUUAAUAAUAUACUAAAAUAAUAUACUAAAAAAGUAUUUUAAGCCAAGUAAUACACUAGAAUAAUAUACUAAAAAAAUAAUACUAAAAUAUAAUACUAGAAUAAUAGCACAAACAAUAAUACUAGAAUAAUAUACUAAACUAAAAUAUAUAUUACAGACUACAUGUAUACUAGAAUAAUAUACUAAAAAGUAAUACUAGAAUAAUAUACUAAAAACUAAUACUAGAAUAAUAUACAAGCAUGCAUUAUUUUUUAGUGUAUAAAUAUAUACUUAAAUAUAUAUACAAAUCAAAACACUACAAUUUAUAAUAUACAUAUAUUUUUUAGUGUAUAUAUAUAUAUAUAAUUCAGUGUGGUCUAGUGUGUGUAUAUAUAUAAUACAGUGUGGUUUAGUGUAUAUGUAUAUAUAUAUAUAUUUUUAGUAUACUUAAUUAAUAUGUUAUAAUUCAUAACAAUUCAGUGUGGUAGUGUAGAGGGAUGGCCGGAGUACGUGAUCUAGCGCGCGUAAAGAUGGCCGGAGUUCUCGGUGUGUCGUCCACGUACGGCGCAGCGACGCUGGUGGAGAUCGAUGGCCGCAGCGGCGAGCUGGAGACGGCGGCGCGACGCUAGAGACGAGGUCACGCGGCGCUGCAGUAGACGAACGGCCGGCGGCGCAGGAGACUAGGGCUGCUCGACGAAGACGAAGGAACUGUUUAGAUCCAGCGCGUAUAUGCGCUUAUAUAGGGGCAGACCCUUUAGCACCGGUCCGUAGCUGGAACCGGUGCUAAAGGGUCUUUAACACCGGCUGGUAACACGAGCCGGUGUUAAAGGGUGACCCUUUAGCAUCGGCUCGUGUUACCAGCCGGUGCUAAAGAGACCCUUUAGCAUCGGUUUUAGCCACGGGCCGGUGCUAAAGGGUCCUUAGACGGGCUCGGAUGGGGUUCUGAAAUUUUCAUUUUGAAGACCCGUUAGCACCGGUUCCAACCAUGAGCCAGUGCUAAAGGGUAUGUUUUUUAGUUUAGGGUUUUUAAAGUGUUUAUAUAUACACUUUACAUUAUAAAUUGUAUAGUAAAUUAAAUAUUUUGUAUAAUAUUUUUUAAAAAGUGACAUGUAUUGUAUUUUUUUAAUGUACACAUAAAAAUUUUUAACCUUAAAUAUCUUACUAUAUUUUUUAAAUUUGCAAUAAUUUUGUAAGUAAUGUUUAGUAUUUUGUUAAUGAAAAAAUAUAUUAUUCCAAUAAAUUUACAAAAACUAUAUCCAAUCAACUGGAAAUCUAUUUUCACAUCAUAUUGACGUUAAACUUUUUAUUUUUGUCAUUUAUUACUCAGAAUGCUAGUACGGUACAAUUUUCAUCAAAUAAAAAAUCUAUUUAUCAUAUAAAAAUGUAGAUCUUGAUGAAUACACCCUUUGACCAAACCCUAGAUGGUCCCAACUAGAAAAGUCAUGAAUACAAAGUUUGUUACACUCAUCAAGUUCUACAUUUGGUCUAAUGGUCAACUUUUCAUUUGGAAAAGUUUGAAAUCACUCAAUUUUGAAUUUUGAAAGAAUUCAUAGGCACGCAUCGGUUUCGGAACCCUAGAUGGUCUCGAAUGGAAAAGUCAUGAAUACCAAUAUUGUUCCACUCAUCAAAAUCUACAUUUAAUAUAUAGACCAUUUUUGCAUUUGACAAAGUGUUGGGAAGGUGUAGUUGAAAAUCCAUAACUGACAUAUGUAGUUUCAUAUAGUUUGUGUGAGAUUAAAGAUUUGGUGGGUAUUGUUAACUUAAACUUUCUCAAAUGGAAAAAUUUUGUAUAUAAAAAGUUUAUAUCUUGAUGAUAUCUAAUAACUUGGUAUUCAAAAUUUUUUCAUUUUAAGUAAUUUAGUUUGUCAUUUGACCAAAACCCGUGUUGGAUUUUAAAGAAAUGUGCUUAGGAUUGGCUCAAAUUUAUCCAAAUGGAAAAAUGGACAAUAUAUCAAAUGUAGAUCUUGAUGAUCUCUAACAACUUUGUAUUCAUUUUUUUAUUUGAAGUCAUCAAAUGGGUCAUUUAACCAAGUUUGACCAAAGUCAAAGCAUUGGUUUUUACAAACACACCCUUUGACCGAACCCUAGAUGGUCCCAAAUGGAAAAGUCAUGAAUACAAAGUUUGUUACACUCAUCAAAAUUCACAAUUCUCAAAUAUAGUUUCAUACAAUUCUUAGUAUUCGUACAUUUUACAACACAUACUAUUAAACAUAACUUUAUAUUAAGCCGACACAAUAGUGAACUUCUUCUUGAUGUAUGACCCUUGGUUAUGAUCCUGCCGUAACCAUGGAGUAUCCUCAUUGUUUAACAGAAUGCUUGGGUCUUUGUUGACUAUGAAGGGCGGAAUUCGAUCAUCCCUUUCGUAAUCGCCUGACAUGUCUGACUUGUCCUCAAUUCCGACAAUGUUUCUUUUCCCAAAAAGGACAAUGUGGCGCUUUGGCUCAUUGACGAUUGAGUGGUCAUCAUUUUUUCCUCUCUUUGGUUUCGUAGACAUGUCUUUCACAUAGAACACCUGACUCACGUCUGCAGCAAGGACGAAUGGUUCGUCUUUGAACCCACUAUUGUUAAGGUCCACGGUUGUCAUCUCAUACUCCUUAUUGACUAUUACCCCACCUCCGGUCAUCUUCACCCAUUGGCACCGGAACAAAGAAACUUUAAAAUUAGCUGCAUAGUCUAGUUCCCAUAUGUCUUCUAUGCGUCCAUAAUAUGUUUGUCUGUUCCCAUUUGGAUCCAUGGCAUCCACACGUACACCACUAUUUUGGUUGGUGAUCCUUUUAUCUUGGCCAACUAUGUAAAAUGUGUUACCAUUUAUCUCAUACCCUUUGUACGUGAGGACAUGCCAUGAUGGUUUCCUGGCCAACAAAUAAAGCUGCUCAUUAAUGUUUUCAUCACCCUGACAUUUUUUGUGCAACCAAUCGCCAAAAGUUUCCUUGUGCUGAUGCAUUAUCCAAGCUUCAUUCUUCCUAGGCCAUUGGGACCGUAGGAAAUCUUUGUGUACCUCAACAUAUGGUUCCACCAAUGAGGAGUUCUGGAGAACUGUGUAGUGUGCUUUAUUGAAGUAAUCGUCACCCGUACCAAUAUAUGUUUUCUUCCCAAAUGUUCCUUUUCCGCUGAGUCUGCCCUCGUGUCGAGAUUCAGGAAUGCCAAUUGGGUCAAGGUCUAGAAUAAAGUCAACAUAGAACUCUAUGACCUCCUCUAUUCUGUAGCCCUUGGCAAUGCUUCCUUUUGGGCGGGAACGACUAUGGACAUAUUUCUUUUGGACACCCAUGAAUAUCUCAAAGGGGAACAUGUUGUGUAGGAACAUAGGAUCGAGAAUACGAAUCUCUUUGAUCAGAUGAACUAGGAGGUGUGUCAUGAUAUCAAAGAAGGAUGGAGGGAACACCAACUCAAAGCUGACGAGACAUUGAACGACAUCAUUCUAUAGAGUAGCUAGUUGCUCUAGAUUGAUUGCCUUCUGAGAAACUGCAUUGAGGAAUGCACAUAGCUUUACGGUGGCUAGACGUACGUGUGGAGGUAAAAUUCCUCUUAAAACCACCGGCAACAAUUGCGUCAUUAGAACAUGACAGUCAUGGGACUUUAAGUUCAGGAAUUUCGUCUCUGGCACAUUAAUUAUUACCUUGAUAUUGGAGGAGAAUCCAGAUGGGACCUUGAUGUUGCUAAGACAUUCAAACAUGCUUUCCUUCUCUUCUUUGCUCGGAGUGUAGCUAGCAGGGCUUAAGUAAUGACGUCCAUCAUCUGUCUUUUCUGGAUGCAGGUUGUCUCGUUCUUUCAUGCGCUGCAAGUCUUGUCGUGCUUCAAGUGAAUCCUUAGACUUCUCGUAGACACCCAUGAAUCCGAGCAAGUUCACACAAAGAUUCUUUGUCAGAUGCAUCAUGUCGAUCGCGUUGCGGACCUCUAGGACAUUCCAGUAAAGUAGCUCCCAAAAUAUGGAUUUCUUCUUCCACAUGGGUACGUGUCCCUUAGCGUCCUUGGGAAUAGGUUCGCUGCCUCAUCCCUUUCCAAAUACCACUUUUAUAUCCUUGACCAUUUCGAGUACAUCAUUCCCAGUUCGAUUGAGAGGCUUGGUCUGGUGGUCUGCCUUGCCUUUGAAAUGCUUGCCUUUCUUUCGUACUGGGUGGUUCACAGGAAGAAACCGACGGUGGCCAAGGUACACGACCUUUCGACAUUUUUUCAAAAAUACACAGUCAAUGUCUUCAUAACAAUGUGUGCAUGCAUUAUAUCCCUUGUUUGAUUGGCCUGAAAGAUUACUCAGAGCUGGCCAAUCAUUGAUUGUUACAAACACCAAUGCUCACAGGUCAAAGUGCUCUUGUUUGUACUCAUCCCACACGCGAACUCCUGGUUUGCUCCAUAAAAGUUGAAGUUCCUCAACUAAUGGCCUUAGGUAGACAUCGAUGUCGUUGCCAGGAUGCUUCGGUCCUUGGAUAAGCACCGGCAUCAUAAUAAACUUCCGCUUCAUGCAUAGCCAUGGAGGAUGGUUGUAGAUACAUAGAGUAACUGGCCAAGUGCUGUGACUACUGCUCUGCUCACCGAAAGGAUUCAUACCAUCUGUACUUAAGGCAAACCACAAGUUUCUAGCAUUAUCUGCAAAAUCUGGGAAUUCUCUGUCUAUCGCUCUCCACUAGGAUCCAUCGGCAGGGUGUCUCAGCAUAUUGUCUAUCUUACGGUCUUCUUUAUGCCACCGCAACAACUUUGCAUUGUCCUUAUUUCUGAACAGACGUUUUAAUCGUGGUAUUAUAGGAGCAUACCACAUACCUUGGCAGGAAUUUUCUUCCUAUGACAUUCUUCACCCUCAACAUCGCCAGAAUCAUCUCGCCUGAUCUUAUACCGUGAUGCCUUACAUACUGGACAUGCAUCCAAAUUCUCGUAUUCCUCCCCACGGUAGAGGAUGCAGUCAUUAGGACAUGCGUGUAUCUUCUGGAUUUCUAAUCCCAAAGGGCAGACAACCUGUUUUGCUUCAUACGUAGUGGUGGGCAAUUCGUUGCCUUUUGGAAGCAUCUUUUUUAUGAUCUUCAAUAACUGCCCAAAUGCCUUGUCAGAUGUACCAUUCUUUGCCUUCCAUUGCAGCAAUUCCAGUAUGGUACCUAGCUUUUUUUCCCCUCUUCAGCGGUGGGAUAUAGCGAUUUCCUGUGGUCCUCUAGCAUGCGCUCGAACUUGGCUUUCUCUUUCUCACUUUCACAUUCUCUUUGUGCAUCACGGAUGGCAUCACCAAAAGCAUCAUCGCCCCGAUCAUCUUCUGUGCUACCUCUUAUUCAUUAUCUCCCCCCAUUGCAACAUCAUUGAAGCCACCGUACUGAGCAAUAAUGUUGGCGUGGUCCAAUUCUUCUUCUUCACCUUCAUCCAUUAUAAUCCUGCUUUCUCCAUGCUUGGUCCAACAAAUAUAGUUUGGUACGAAACCAGACUUUAAUAAGUGCGAAUGAAGAGUUCUUCAAUAUUCUGUCAAAUUCUUGCACACGGCACAUGGAUAGCACAUGAAACCGUCCCUUUUAUUUUUCUUGGCCACACUAAAAGGUCGAGAUGGUGGACUAGAGGGGGGUGAAUAGUCCUUUCUAAAAACUAUCGUACCGGCUAACCAAAACAAAUGCGGAAUUAAAUCUAUCGGCCUAGCCAAGACUACACCCCUCUAUCUAAGUUCUCUAGCACCUUGUAAAAGAUCCUAAACAAGAAAACAAGGUGCUACCUUAGCAAGAGCUCACCUAACCAAUUCUAGAAGCAAGGUCACACAAACCUAUGCAACUAGUACUUUGCAAACCGAGGGAGCUCCUACACAAACAAGUGAGGCAAAGCGCACAAAGCCUAAGCUCACUAGCAAGCUCAAUAACAAGGCAACUAAUGCCAAAUUAGAGAGCGCAACUUACUUAGCUACACAAACUAAGCAAUGUGACUAACAAGGUUACACAAACCAAAUUAGUCACGCAAGCGAACUACUUCUAGCUACACAAGCAAGAAGGUAACUAGCAAGCUACACAAGCUAACUAAUUACAAGAGCAACUACACAAGCACAAAUAUAUGAAUGUAAAUACAAGCUCGUAUAUAGCGAAUGCAAACCACCGAGAAGAGUAGACAAUGUUGACACGGUGAUUUUUACCGAGGUUCACUUGGUUGCCACCAAGCUACGUCCUCGUUGUGGCGAUACACCCACUUGAUGGAUCACGAGCUAAUUGGCAUUCAAAGCCAAACCCUCAGCGGGUGCCGCACAUCCACUCUCAAGAUGGGGAUCCUCCAAGCCACAAGAAAUCCACUAGAGUUGCUCUUCGCAAUCUCUGUGGGGUGAGCACCGUACCCCUCACAAUCUCUUCUCCGAAGCACCGCACAAUCUCCUUGCGUGCUUCGACGGAGUCACAAGCCACCAAGCCAUCUAGGAGGUGGCAACCUCCAAGAGUAACAAGCACCACCGGCUUGCAACACGAACACCUAGUGCCACUCGAUGCAAUCUCUCAAUGCAACGCACUAGAAUCGCUCACUCACACAAUCGGAUGAUCACUAUCAAGCAUAUGUGAGUUAGAGGCUUCACUAGCACUCCCUAACCAUGGACACUAAAUCCCAAGGGUGCUCAGCACAAGCCAAGGCCGGCCACCACUUCUAUUUAUAGCCCCAAGGGCUAAACUAGCCGUUGCCCCUUCACUGGGCAAAACACGUGGGCACCGGACGCUCACAGGGAGCCACCGGACGCUCAACCCCCAGCGUCCGGUGCUCAGGCGUCAGCCAUGUGUCACUAGCCAUUUGAACUCGACCGUUGCCGCCAACGGCUACUGCGCACGUGCGCCUACACAGUACCAUGUUGGGUAUUUUAAACGCAAACAGAAAAAUCCGCAAGCGCACGGAUACCGAUGUAGCUUUCACCCGGGAGUAUUCCAGAGUAUCGAUUUUCCACAGAGAACGUGAGUGUACUAAUUAAGAUCCAAGAUCGCCCAAGGAUAACUAUAUAAUUAUUUUUGGUGGGAAGAGAGGAAGUUUCCUGAGUGUUCUCUAGUUGAUCUAAGAAUCAAGAAUUACUUCAAGAUUAUCUAUAUCGGGACAUCAGAGCACUAACCACAGAAAGAGAUGAGAAGGGGGCUAGGAAGGUCUGACUACGGUCCUACAAACACCGAUCCGAACGUGGUGGAAUACGUCGACCGUUAGGGCUGUCACUACCCUAAGGCUACCACAACAAUCCGCAGGAUUGGGUGCAAUUCCAGGUAAUUGCAAGACUAAACACCACGUCUAAUCUAUUAAUUACUACUCUAGCGUUAUAAAGACUAGAGCACUUGAUGCAAGCGGGAAUCCAAUAAAUAACUUGAAUGUAAAUAAAAGUAAUUAAAGAACUCAGGAUUAUGAAUUGAAGAACCUGGAGAACGAUGAAGAAUGAACCAGUUGCUGCAAAAAUUUAAUGUUGAGGAAGAUCCGACAGAUCCGGGUCCUCCUCCGCUCUCCUCUUCUCUCUCCCUAUUUUCUAGACUACAACUAGAACUAACUAGAACUAGAACUAGAGGAACUAGAACUAGAACUAGAUGAACUAGAACUAGAACUAGAUGAACUAGAGGUAGAACUAGAAGAACUAGAGGGAUCCUCUCUACUUGGAUGAAGAAUUGAAACCCUAACUUUGAUUCUGUAGAAGAGGUAUGCUCUCCAGGGGCCAGGGGGCCUUGCUUAUAUAGUCUUUUCAGAUGAAUCUGGGCCGUCGGAUCGAACCGACAUUAAUCGCACAGUUUUCCUUGGUCCCUUAGGUCGGUGGAGCACGAUCCGCGAAGUUGAAGCUGAUUGGUUACUGUAGCUGGGCGGGCACCCAAGGGACUUGGGCGGGCGCCCUGCCCCCGGGCCCGAUCGGCCUCCCGUUCGUUCCCGUGGCUUCUGGAGUCUUCUAGAUGGUAGAAAAUUGCGCGGCACGUUAAUAUCUCUAUGUAAACCCGACGUGUGGGCUUUUCUUUCAUAUUUCCUGAUAACCUCCUGCAGAAAUAGACAAACACCAAAACUCGUGGAAUUCUGUCAGAUAAAACCCUAAGUCUAGGUGUUGGCUGCAUAUAAGUCUUUUUCCAUGAUUAGUUGAUGGUUAAAUGUGAGCAUUAAGGACCGUCAACAAGCUCCCCCAAGCUUAACCUUUGCUCGUCCCUGAGCAAAGAUGAACUCAAGAAUUUCUGCAGUGGUUUCAAUACAUGCGUUCAAACAAGAUCUCAUCUCUGGGUUAGGGUAAAUUGUUAAGAUUUAAAUUUACUCAUUUUUCCUUCCACCAUGGGGCUUGCAACCGUCACUUGUGUCUUGAGUAGUUAAAAGAUAGAACAGUCUAGUCAAGCGCUAUGUCUCUUGUUCUUCGAUUAACUAUAGCUCUGGAGUUUUUGCAGAUUUUCAAAUAAAACUCAGAGAUUCCUUGUAUGACUCUCUCUAGUCUCUCUUUUGUGGUAUUUCUGGAUCCUUACCAAGGCAGUAAUGGUGUAUGCCUUCUCUCAAAGUAUGUGGUAUUUUUGGUAUGAGGCAUAGUGACAUUGCUUUCUCUCUCACCCUACUCUAAUAAGGCUUUUGAUAUCUGGAGCUCAUUGGUGGGAGAUAGCUAAUACAUACUUACAAGACAUUUAUUGCAUAGUCAAACUAUGGAUCCAGAAGAACAAGUCAAUAAGUCAAAUCAAGAUGUGCAUGUGUGGCGAAUGAAUGGUGUAUGGUGAUGAUUGAUAACAAUAGUGAAAGUCUAAUUCUACUUAUGCUCUUUUGAGGGGAUACAUACUUUUCUUGCUCUUUUGAAACUUUUUGAGGGGAAUAAGAUGCUCUAUAUUUUCUUUUCUUUUUUUUCUUUUCUCUCAGGUGGGUAUCUUGUACCCCUAAUUCUACUGUCGCACACUUGUCCAUUUUUACCUCUCGUCUCACUUUUUCUUUUCUUUCGAGGUUCCGGGCACUUGCCCCUUUUUAUUUCCUCGUAUCUUUUUUUUCUCUUUUUUUAGAGCACUCAUCUCCUUAAAUAAUAUAGCAAGUGGUAGUAACCAAGAUAACUCGAGCAUUUAUUGCAUAGGGAAUAACAAGGAUAGGAAAAUAUUUUUGGCUAUUCUCUCCCGGAUUAGGAGUAGAAUACUUUUGGGUGAAUCUGGAGAUGGAAGUGAGUGGAUAUAUGUGGAUGCGUACUUCCGGAGUAGAAGCAACAUGUGUGAGUGAACGUGCAAGUGAAUCUUGAUUCUAACCGCAUGACAAGCUCCUAAGGGUCUACACAGCUUGACCACACUCAAUGCUCAUAAGUAGUAAAAAGUAAAUGUGUGGCUCAAAGUCUAGCAAACAUGUAUAUAUGGCUGUGGUAGGAAUUUAAACUCUCAUCAUACAGGAACUCAUCAUGUGAUAUUUUGAAGAUUUUCAAAGAUAAAAUUCUCUAGAAUUCUAGCAUCUCUAGGAACAGAUAAACAGCAGCUCAACCUUCCCAUAUCAUAUCCAUUAACAACUUAGACUUUAGAUCAAGUACUCUUCCCACAAGUUCAGGUUUAGAGCAAGUCUUAAUUAAUAACAGUCAUGCCUAAACUUGAAAGAGAUUUCAAUUUUAAGAACUAGUCAUGGCAGAGCAACUAUUCAUCAUUUCCACGUGACAGCUUAUCAUGAGGGUUCAUAGCAAACUUUAUUUAUUUAUUUAUUUAGCAAACUAAACAAAGAUAUAUAUAAGCACAAAAUCUUUAUUUGGGUUUUUAUGAUUAUGCAUCUUUUUAUUAUUUGAGUAAAAUAUAAACAUGAGUAGAGCACUUAACUGGAUAAAUGGUGGUGCUCUCCCCCAAGCUGGAUUUUGCCGUAAUUCCUUCUGAUGUAGCUAGCAGGUGGCGGAGGUGUAUUUGAAUGUUGGUAGCCUCCUGACAGCGAUUCGGAUGUCCUCUGUCUACUAGUCUUCUUUGAUCCUUGAAUUCUGUGGAGCUCAAAUAGACAACAAAGCUUUGUGGAACUAGUUAAGUGUUAACAUAAAUAUCUAGCCUUUAUCAUGUUGAGCCUCCUUAAUAAAUGUUACACUCUUUAGUAGGAUCACAAUCUUAUUUUUACAAUUUUAUUUUUAUAGGACAGGAAUAUAUUUAUUUCAUUUUUAUGCCACCACAGUGAAUGUACUUAUGGGUUUUAUGCCAUGAGCAUAAUCACAUGGGGCUUACUAUUUUUAACAUUUUUAUUUUCUUUUCAAGAUGAUAUGAACCUGAUUAACUAAGCAAACUAUUUUAAAAUAAUUGAAAGGAAAAAGAUAACUACCAAGUUUACCUCUUGGCAAGGCGUUCGGUGUUUUUAAGUCCUCCGAACGGGUCUCUCCGUUUUCUCUGUCGUCCUAGGAUUCGCUGGAUGGUGUAGUCGGUGGUUCCGGCGGCGCCUCCUCUUCGUGUAUAACUAUCUUUUCUCUCCACACCUGACUCGGUGCUACGGUCUCCUCAGGACAGUUCUGUUUAAGUUGUAUGUCUUCAGAUCUUACCACUUCUCCUUCGUAGUCUGCCCAUCCAUCCUUGAUGAUUUGCCUCCUCUGGUUGCGGUUGCGUCGUCUUCUUUGUCUUGACCUGCUUAGAGUCUUCAUAUAUAUAUAGUUAGGGUCAGUAAAAUAGCGGCGUACCUUCUCAGAGGGGAAGUGCAUGUGGACUUCUCCGGUUCCAAUGUAGAUGAUUGCUUUAACGGUGCUGAGGAACAGUCUUCCAAGGGUGAUGGGUGGAUUGUACUUGUCUUCUUCCAUGUCAAUAACCUUAAAAUCAUCUGGAGCUAAAUGUAUGUCGGUUUUAGUGGCAUGGUUCCGAAUAGGAGCUGAUAGGUGACUGGGUCGUCCUUUUUGGUCAGGAACGGUGACUUAAGUCAACGAUCUUGACCUCCUUAAACUGCAGUGACCAUCUUGGUUGACUCGGUCCACAUUUGCUUGUUCCUGUUCCUCCUGUUGGUCAUCUUCCUUGGUUCAUGUCGGGAUUGCUCUGAGAUUUGUAUAGUCUUGUUCUUGAAGGAAAACGUCUCCUUCCUCUCCUUGAUGUAGAAACUGAUCUUGACAGCACUAGCAUAGAUGACAGCUCCCGAGGUGUUCAGGAAUGGCCUCCCUAGGAUGAUGGGUGCCCUCUCGUCAGUAUCAGUCUCUAUCACCACGAAGUCUGCUGGAGCGUAUAAGGUACCAACUCGGACAUAGAGGUUAUUCAAUAUUCCCUUUGGGAAACUUAGUGUCUGAUCUGCAAGCUGCAAACACAUGGUUGUUUCUAGGAAAGGAUGUGUAAAGAAUUUUUCAUAGAGUACCCUGGGCAUAAUGUUGACGCUGGAGCCAAGGUCGCAGAGUGCUUCUAGGAAGUCCACCAUGCCGAUGGAGAUCGGGAUGACGAGGCGUCCUGGAUUGUCUCUCUUGACCGGCAGAAGGUCAGUAAUUACUUCCACAGCAGGGUUACUCCAGUAGUUACGUCCUCAAGCAUCUCAGGGCAGUGAUUGCCUGAGUGUCCAGUAUCCCCAGUGUGUUUGAGCUCGUAGAUCUAGGUUCUUCACUUGGUGGAGUGUGGGAGUUGUAAAAGUCCUUCAUAUUUUGCUCGAAGUGUACCUGCUCGUAGAGACAAGGGAGAGAUCAAGUGCAUGGGCCCUGUUGGUGGAAAACACCAACAGAACCAAAAGUGUAUUUGUGCUUCUCUACCCUUAAGCAUAGUGAGCAAGACAAAGUUGAUGGAUAAUAAGAUCAUGAGUGCAGCAUUUAAAAUAUUUGUCAGAUCAGAUUGCUCAACCUAAUGGAAAGAUAAUCUCUCUAUAGUUAUGUUGUUUUUUUAUAUAUCUUCCAAAGAUUGAGCGUGCAACAUUUUAGCUCAUAAGAUUAGGAGUGUGGGAUCACAAAGAUGGAAGGACUACACAUGUUGAAUCGAUUGGGUUGGUUAAUCUAGAGUUGUAAAUCAUACAUGUUUGUCUCUUUUAUUCAUGUGAACGCCAGAACCAAGGAGAAGCUUGUAGAAGUGAAAGUCAAGUACCUUAAGAUGUUACCUUACUUGAAGAGUGAUGGUACAGUAUCACCUUGUGGAAGCUCUCCUUUCUUAGUGGUUGUGCAUCAUGUUUGUGGCACCCUCCAUGGAUCAUCUCUUGUGAGGUAUGCCUUCCUUGUGUAAAUUGUUAAACUUCAUGUGUCUCUCUCUUUGUCUCCAAUGUGAGUUUAUCUCUGGACUUCCCAGGUUGAUAUUGAAAGUUUUCCUGCAGGGGUUAGUCCAACAAAAUAUCCAGUAUCUACUAUAGCAUAAUAUUGGCUCAAAGAUUAACCUAGACACCAUGUCUAAUUUGAUUUAGGAGGGCAUUUUAACCUAAGCAUCAUGCUUAAUUUAAACUCCCUUUGAAGUAAGAUCAUCAGCCCUAAACUAAGCACCAUGCUUAAUUAAGAGAUAAAUGAAACUACUCAAAACCUAGACAUAUACUAAAGCAAAUAAAGGUAGCAUCAGAGCGUUUAUAGAGAUCUACUCAAGUGGAGAUGAAGUAGUGUGAUUAGUAUUUAACAAAUUGAGCAUGUCUCAAAGGUAGGGACAACCAACAUAGCAACAUGGCAAAGGAUGUUUGUAUGUAAAGUACUCCCCCAAGCUUGAAUUUUGCAAAAUUCAAGUUUGGAUGAAUUUAAUUCAAUGUUAUAUGAUGAUUGGUUGGACAUACCUUGUGCUUGUCAUUCAUCCGAUCUUCUUGCUCCAAUCCUGGAAAGGUUAGUGACAAGAAUACCCGAAGGAAUAUUUUUACAAUUAUCCUUAUAUGCUCAACACACAAGGUAAUGUUGCAAAUAAUUAAAAGCUCAUAUUACAAUCUGAUCAGUGCUUGUUUUAGGACACUAAGCUUGUCCUUGGGAAACCAUCAAUUUAUGUCAGUGAAGUGGUUUCCCCUCCAAUGCUGACCUAUAUCAAGAUCAACUCAAUGACAUCUAGAAAAUUUAUUAUAGACAUAUGCAUCGACAACUGCCCUUUUAAAGUUUUUAUAAACAAAAAGGAUGCGGGGGUUGGAGAUCUCGAAUGUGGUGAUGUUGGAGAGACCAAUGGAUUGUGAAGAUGUUGCAUAUGAGCAUGGAGUAAAUGAAGUGGCAAUGAAAUAAAUUCCAUGCUCAUUAAUGCUUAGAGUGAAAUCCAUGUGGUAUGGUGAAAAUGAUAAGGUGAGUGUGGUAAAAAAAGAAAAGAAAAAGGAUACACGGAUGACUUGGUUCGAAACUAGCACAGCUACCGUUCCCCGGCAACGGCGCCAGAAAGCUUGUUGGGUAUUUUAAACGCAAACAGAAAAAUCCACAAGCGCACGGAUAUCGAUGUAGCUUUCACCCGGGAGUAUUCCAGAGUAUCGAUUUUCCACAGAGAACGUGAGUGUACUAAUUAAGAUCCAAGAUCGCCCAAGGAUAACUAUAUAAUUAUUUUUGGUGGGAAGAGAGGAAGUUUCCUGAGAGUUCUCUAGUUGAUCUAAGAAUCAAGAAUUACUUCAAGAUUAUCUAUAUCGGGACAUCAGAGCACUAACCACAGAAAGAGAUGAGAAGGGGGCUAGGAAGGUCUGACUACGGUCCUACAAACACCGAUCCGAACGUGGUGGAAUACGUCGACCGUUAGGGCUGUCACUACCCUAAGGCUACCACAACAAUCCGCAGGAUUGGGUGCAAUUCCAGGUAAUUGCAAGACUAAACACCACGUCUAAUCUAUUAAUUACUACUCUAGCGUUAUAAAGACUAGAGCACUUGAUGCAAGCGGGAAUCCAAUAAAUAACUUGAAUGUAAAUAAAAGUAAUUAAAGAACUCAGGAUUAUGAAUUGAAGAACCUGGAGAAUGAUGAAGAACGAACUAGAUGCUGCAAAAGUAUAAUGUUGAGGAAGAUCCGACAGAUCCGGGUCCUCCUCCGCUCUCCUCUUCUCUCUCCCUAUUUUCUAGACUACAACUAGAACUAGAACUAGAGGAACUAGAACUAGAACUAGAUGAACUAGAACUAGAACUAGAUGAACUAGAGGUAGAACUAGAAGAACUAGAGGGAUCCUCUCUACUUGGAUGAAGAAUUGAAACCCUAACUUUGAUUCUGUAGAAGAGGUAUGCUCUCCAGGGGCCAGGGGGCCUUGCUUAUAUAGUCUUUUCAGAUGAAUCUGGGCCGUCGGAUCGAACCGACAUUAAUCGCACGGUUUUCCUUGGUCCCUUAGGUCGGUGGAGCACGAUCCGCGAAGUUGAAGCUGAUGGUUACUGUAGCUGGCGGGCACCCAAGGGACUUGGGCGGGCGCCCUGCCCCCGGCCCGAUCGGCCUCCCGUUCGUUCCCGUGGCUUCUGGAGUCUUCUAGAUGGUAGAAAAUUGCGCGGCACGUUAAUAUCUCUAUGUAAACCCGACGUGUGGGCUUUUCUUUCAUAUUUCCUGAUAACCUCCUGCAGAAAUAGACAAACACCAAAACUCGUGGAAUUCUGUCAGAUAAAACCCUAAGUCUAGGUGUUGGUUGCAUAUAAGUCUUUUUCCAUGAUUAGUUGAUGGUUAAAUGUGAGCAUUAAGGACCGUCAACAAGCCACUGGACGCUCUACUGCGUCACACCGGACGCGUCCGGUGCACACCGGACCCAUGUGCAGAGAGCUCCGCAAACUCGCACAGUCACCGGACGGACCCUGAGCGUCCGGUGCUCACCGGUCAGAAACUCCUCGCGCACACUCGCUGACAUCACACACCACCAGACGCUCGAACAGUAACCGCCCACCGUCCGGUGCCAGCGUCCGGUGCGCUCUACACACCUGAGCCACAGACACCACACCGGACGCUCUGGACCAGCGUCCGGUGCUGCCAACACCAGCGUCCGGUGCUCCCGCAACUUCUCCAAAAUUCCCACCGGCGCAAUAGAAAAUAUACACUUAAUUUUCUCAAAAGCGCCGAAUCCCGCCGAGGAACCCACACCCCUCUCAACCCUAGGAACUCCACCUCCUUUGUAAAUGUGCCAACACCACCAAGUGUACACCACCAUGUGCAAGUGUGUUAGCAUUUUCACAAACAUUUUCCCAAAGGAGUUAGCCUCUCAAACUUGCCGCGCCACUCGAUCCUAACACAUAUGCAAAGUUAGAUCGCUCAAGUGGCACUAGAUGACCGAUAUGCAAACAAGUUUGCCCCUCUUGAUAGUACGGCCAUCUAUCCUAAAUCCGGUCAUAAACUUCUCUACACACCUAUGACCGGUGAAAUAGAAAAGCCCUAGGUUAUACCUUUGCCUUGCGCUUUCCAUUCCAUCUCCUCCAAUGUAGAUGCAACACAUGCACCAACCCAUCACCAAAUGAUAUGAUCCUCUUCAUAUCAUCAUGUGACUGUAUUGGUUCAUCGAUCUUGACCUCACUUGCUCUUCACCGUUGCCUCGGUCCAUCAGCGCCAAGUCUUGCUCAAGCUUCACCGUCACACGCGGUCCCUCGCUUCAAAGCCUCUGACUUUCCCUUCACUCUUGCAACCGGUCCAUCAAGCCAAGCCACAUCUUGAUCUUUUCCACCUUGGUCACAUGACUCCAUGUCAUGUCUCAUAUGCAAUGAGCUCCUCCAUCAUCAUAUAAUCACCUGUGGACUAAUCUCCUAUGUAUCUCACAUAAACACUAUUAGUCCACCUAAGUUGUCACUCAAUUACCAAAACCAAACAAGGACCUUUCACACACUUAAGAAAUAAUGCACGCCAUUAAUGAACUCUUCGGAGCGCCGAUCGGCAUUAUACAACCAAUUACGUGUUACCAUCUGCAUUAAAUAUAACAUAUAUAUUAUGAAAACCAUGCACACAUAUAGUUUCUCAUCUUAUUGCACAAUAUGUCUAACACACAUAGUUGAUUAAUUCAAGCAAGCUUGGCUACAACAAAUACAAUCGCAACUAGCACUAAAAAACCAAAACUAAAAUGCACUUAAGCAACAUAAUUAGUUCGAGUCUCAUCCCAACUAUAAUAGAUAGAUAAUUUGCUUGAUCAACAUCAUUGAACUCCUUUUGCCGGCUCACUGCCUCAUCACCUUCAGCCUCAACCACCUGUGCAAAAGAUUUCUUGAUGUGUUGAAUGUAUUCUUCCUUCCAGUACCAACCUGUACAUCCGCCGGUACCGUCCCACUGAAAUUAAAAGAGAGAAUCAAAAGUUUAAUUAAUAUCAUUAAAAAAAUAAGCACAUAUAUAAGCAAAUGUCUAGAAAUAACUCACAUUACGAUCCGGACACUUGUAGAAUAUAGGACCGUUGUUUACUCCCUCUUUCGACACUCUGUACUCCAUCACAAUCUUCUACCCACACUUGCCACAAGCAAUGAGAGGGAGUUCCGGCCGGUAUCGCUUUUGAACCCGUUGAGAGACUGAAGACCCGGUCACGGUUGCCAUCUACUAUCCAUACUCAAUUUUUAAACAAUUAUAAAUUCCACAUUUACUAGUAAACAUGUAUGAUAAAAGAAGAACCUAAUAAUAUCCUUUAUUUGUCUAGUUACUUCAACAAAUCUUCUAAAUUAUACAAUGGACAUUAUGUAGUAAUAAAAACUUAUCAAGUGAUAUUAAUAAACCAAUUAAUUUGAACUAUCCUACUUUCUAAGAUCAUAAAAAGAUACUAUUGACAGUCCUUAAGUACCAAAUAUAAUCAGCAAAUAAACAAAGAAAAGGAUCCAAAUACAACCAACAUCUAAACUUAGGGUUUUAUCUGACAGAAAUCCACGAGUUUUGGUGUUUGUCUACUUCUGCAGGGGGUUAUCAGGAAAUAUGGAGAGAAGGCCCACACGUCGGGUUUACAGAGAGAUAUUAACAUGUCGCACAAUUUUCUAUCAUCUAGAAGACUACAGAAGCCACGGGAACGAACGGGAGGCCGAGCGGGCUCGGGGGCAGGGCGCCCGCCCACCCCCCUUGGGCGCCCGCCCAGCUACAAGUCCAAUCAGGAAUCUCUUCGGGGAUUACGCUCCACCGACCUAAAGGAUCAAGAAUAACCAUUCAAUCAAUGUCGGUUUGAUCCGACGGCCCAGGUUCACUUGAGGGGACUGUAUAACCAGACCCCCUGGCCCCUGGAGGAGGCACCCCUUGAUCAUUAUUCAUUAUUCAUAGAUAGAGCAAAAGCUAGGGUUUAGAGAUGAGAGCUCUCCUCUCUUCUCUAAACUAGAGUAGAUCUAGAUAGUAGCGAGAUGGAGAGCGAAGGAGGAUUAGAGGAGAGGCCGGCCUGUCGGUUCUUACUCCGGUUGUACUUCGCCAUGAUCAAGCUCUAAUCAAGUUUGCUCAUGGGAUGACUUUGGUAAUCUACUUCUAAUUCAUUAUGCAAUUACUAAUCAUGUAUGUUCUGGUUCACAACUCUUUUGAGUACUUCUAAUCCAUAGGGCCCUAUAGGUUAGAGUUGUAGUAUAGGUGUAGGUGUGGUGCUUAGACCUAGAUUACUUGUGGAUAUCCCCUGUCUAGCUGGAUCGUGUGGUAGGCCGCGUAGGUGACAGUUACAUUGGUUCUCUGUAGUCCACCUCUCGUUAGCAGGACGGGUAGGGUUUAUUGGCCUAUGUAUAAGCAUCCUUUGUGGUGUACUCUUAUCACGUGGUUCGUCCUAGACAUAGACAUACCCCUUUGAAGAAGAGAAACCAUAGUUAUCCUCUCUAUUCUACUACCAUCGCCCAUAUAUUAGAUUGCUCUACUCUCUAUUCCCAUAUUAUCACCCACUGUUAUCUUACCUUUAAUAUUGUUCUUAUUCAAUUCUACCAUCUUUCCUAUUUACACCUAUCUAUUUAUCUUGGUUAAGUUAGAGCAUAGAUCAGUUCUCCCGUUUCCCUGUGGAUACAAUAAAACCUUUAACUGGGUAAAAGGCUACAACGGUAUGCAUGCGCUUGCGGAUUUAUCUGUGUGCGUAUAAAUACCAUAGUACACUCUAGUGCCAUGCUAGGGAUGACAACCUAGUAUUCAAGUGGUGUUAGCAAGUGUCAACAAGCAUUUUUGGCGCCGUUGCCGGGGAAACGGUUGCUGAGUUGACUACGAACUAGCUUAAUCAUUUUCUAAAAAAAUAAAAUAUAUAUAUUUUUUUCCUUUUAUCUUUUGCCUUAUCUCUGCUAUUCUUUCUUCUUAUCUAAUCCUUGAUCUCUGGUCUAUUAUGAAUUCAAACAUGUCUAUCUAUGAAUUUCAUAGACCUGUGGGCACACAUCUCGAACCACCAAAAUCUUCAAAGCCUAUCAUAGCAUCUAGUUUUGAGAUAGACCCCGAAUACAUAGAAUUUGUUCAAAAACAACCUUUCUCAGGAGAAGGUUAGGAAAACCCAUACACUCACCUAAGAGAGUUUUAUCGAGUCUGUGACCUCCUUCGCAUAGAAGGCAUGUCCGAUGAGACCCUUAAAUGGAAGCUCUUUCCGUUCUCUUUAACGGGAAAAGCUAGACAUUGGUACAAACUCAAAGUAGGGAGUGUUCAUGGAGAUUGGAAGGAGUUAUAUAAUAGUUUUCUUUCUAAAUAUUUUCUAAUCUCCAAAGUGGCGGAACCUCGGCGUAAGAUUCUUUCUUUUAGACAACUAGAAGAAGAAUCUCUUGGCAAAUCAUAGGACCGCUUCAUUAACCUUACUCUCACUGGCCCAAAGCUUUCUAUUCCAGAAGAAGUUCUUCUAAUUCACUUUUUUGAGGGCCUUAGUAGGGAAAAUAAGCGAACCCUUCAUGCGGCCUCUGGAGGAUCUUUCCACCACCUAUCCGCUAGUGAAGCUUGGAAUUUGAUUGAUUUAAUGAGCGGAAAGUCUCCUAGCUUUUAUAUCCCUGAGAAAGAGAAAGAACCAGUUCCUAGACAAGAAGAAGAAGUUUCGAUAGCCAGAUCACAACCACUUCAAUCCCAAACUUUAGCUAUCGAUCCUAAACCAUCAAUACCCCAAAAUUCUCUAAGGGAGGAAGGAAUUCUGACCUUAAAUCUUUCAGAUACUGAUGGUUUAGACUUCUGGUUCCAUAAGAGACCUUCAAGCAGGGAUAAUUCAAAUCCUUGCAAUAAUGGUUCUCUUAGAGAAUGUCCUGGUUUCUGUUAUGAAGAAGUUGAGGAUGACAUAUCAAGUGAAGGAGAGCUAAACCAUAUAGAAAAUCCUAUCUGCUCCCCUUCCAUGUUCACAAAUUCUAAAUCCAUCCUUGACCUUAGAGACCCCUCUUAUCCCUCUCCUUUUAAGUCUCAUGAUGAUCCUAGCAAUCCAUCAAAAUGAUCAAACCAUAGGAGUCAUAAAGACCAUGAGGAUGACGUGUCAAGUAAUGUCAUAGAAGGAGAGCUAAGCCAUAUAGGAAAUUCUAACACCUCCCCUUUCCUGAUCACAAGUUCUAAAUGGCUAGAAUGUGUAGAAUGGAUGGAUAAGGAAGAAGACUUAAUGGAUUCUGACUUUGGCUCAAUUUCAAAUGGUGAGUUCUUGACUCCUUUUGAAGAUGAGAUUUAUCCAACUACAGAAGAGGACACAGGUGAGACCAAUUCAAGAGAAACUCCAAACAUUCAGAUUGGAGACGAAGAUAACAUUAAUGAGUAUGGAAUUUAUUUCAUAGCCACUUUGUUUACUCUAUGCUCAUAUGCAACAUCUUCCCAAUCUAUUGGUCUCUCCAACAUCACCACAUUUGAGAUCUCCAACCCCCUCUUCCUUUCUAUUUAUAAAAACUUUAAAAGGGCGGUUGUCGAUGCAUAUGUCUAUAAUAAAUAUUGCGGAUCUCGUUGAGUUGAUCUUGAUAUAGGUCAGCGUUGGAAGGGAAACCACUUCGCCGACAUAAAUUGAUGGUUUCCCAGGGACAAGCUUAGUGUCCUAAAAUAAGCACUGAUCAGAUCGUAACAUGAGCUUUUAAUUAUUUACAACAUUACCUUGUGUAUUUAGCAUAUAAGGAUAAUUAUAAAAAUAUUCCUUCGGGUAUUCUUGUCACUAACCUUUCCAGGAUUGGAGCAAGAAGAUCGGAUGAAUGACAAGCACAAGGUAUGUCCAACCGAUCAUCAUACAACAUUGAAUUAAAUUCAUCCAAACUUGAAUUUUGCAAAAUUCAAGCUUGGGGGAGUACCUUACAUAAAAACAUCCUUUGCCAUGUUGCUAUGUUGGUUGUCCCUACCUUUGAGACAUGCUCAAUUUGUUAAAUACUAAUCACACUACUCUAUCUCCACUUGAGUAGAUCUCUAUAAAUGCUGUCAUGCUACCUUUGUCUAUUUUCUAGCAAGUGUUGGUUUGGAAGUACUCGACAUACUUCCAUUGGCAUUUAAAUUGAGCAUGGUGCUUAGGUUAAAUAGCCUUCCUUAAUCUGAUUAGACAUGGAGUCUAGUUUGGUUACUGAACUAAAAACUGCUUGAGUAGAUAUUGGUAUAUUUUGUCGGACUAACCCCUAUAGGAAAACUUUCACUAUCAACCUGGGAAGUCCUGAGAUAAACUCACAUCAGAGAUGAAGAGAGUAACACAUGAAGUUUAACAAUUUGCACAAGAAGGACAUAGCUCAUUCACCAUACAGAGAUGAUCCAUGGAAGGAGACAAAGUACAUAAACAAGAUACACAACCACUACGAAAGAAAAGCUUCCACAAGGUGAUACUAUACCAUCACUCUUCAAGUAAGGUAACAUCUUAAGAUAUCUGACUAUCACUUUUAUAAGCUUCUCCUUGGUUCUGGCGUUUACAUAAAUAAAGAGACAAACAUGUAUGAUUUAUAACUCCAAAUUAACCAACCCAACUGAUUCAGCAUGUUUAGUCCUUUAAUCUUUGUUCCUAGUACUACCUCCAUGAUCCCACACUCCUAACCAUAUGAGCUAAAAUGUUGCACAUUUAAUCUUUGGGAAGAUAUAAAGAAAAAGGCAUAUAUAUAGAUAGAUUAUCUUUCCAUUAGGUUGAGCGAUCUGAUCUGGCAAAUGUUUUAAAUGCUACACUCAUGAACUUAUCAUUCAUCAACUUUGUCUUGCUCACCAUGCUUAAGGUUAGAGAAGAACAAAUACACUUUUGGUUCUGUUGGUGUUUUCCACCAACAGGGCCCAUGCACUUGAUCUCUGCCUUGUCUCUAUGAACAGGUACACUACGAGCACAAACACACUGAGCAAGAUACUGCCAACACCGCACUUCGAACUACUGGGCAAACGAAGAACAUGGGUGACACCGUAUUAAGAGGUGCAGACGUCAAGGUCCACACCUGAAUCAAAUGACACACCUGAAGAAUGAACACGGUGAGAAGUCUUGUUCAGAAGACUUAAAACAUUGAAUCCUCGCCGAAAGGUAAAAUCGGUAGUUAUCCAUAUUUAUCCUUUCUGCAUUCCCUUUUCCCAUUAAUUAUUUACUUUCCUUAAAUAGAUUAUUAGUUAAUCAUGCUAUCUUGAAAAUAAAAUAAAAAUGUUAGUAAGCCCCAUAUGAGUAUGCUCGUGGCAUAAAACCUAUAAGUACAUUCACUGUGGUGGCGUAAAAAUAAAUAUAUUCCUGUCCUAUAGAAAUGAAAGUAUAAAAAUAAAUUUAUGAUCCUACCAAAGAGAGUAAUAUUUAUUAGAGGAAGCUCAACAUGACAAAGGUUAAGAGAUUUUAUGCUAACACUUAACCAGUUCCACAAAGCUUUGUUGUCUGUUUGAGCUCCACAGAAUUCAAGGAUCAAAGAAGACUAGCAAACGGAGGACAUCCUAAUCGUUGUCAGGGUGCUGCCGACAUUACACCUCCACCACCUGCUAGCUACAUUAGAAGAAAUUACGUCAAAAUCCAGCUUGGGGGAGAGCACCCCCAUUUAUCCAGCUAAGUGUUUCUACUCGCGUUUAUACUUUACUCAAAUAAUAAAAAGAUGCAUAAUCAUAAAAACCCAAAUAAAGAAUUUGUGCUUAUAUAUAUAUCUAUGCUUAGUUUGCUAAAUAAAUAAAUAAAUAAAGUUUGCUAUGAACCCUCAUGAUAAGCUCUCACAUGGAAAUGAUGAAUAGUUGCUCUGCCAUGACUAGUUCUCAAAAUUGAAAUCUCUCUCAAGUUUAGGCAUGACUGUUAUGAAUUAAGAUUUGCUCUAAACCUGAACUUGUGGGAAGAGUACUUGAUCUAAAGUCUAAGUCGUUAACAGAUAUGAUAUGGGAAGGUUGAGUUGCUAUUUAUCUGUUCCUAGAGAUGCUAGAAUUCUGGAGAAUUUUAUCUUUGAAAAUCUUUAAAAUGUUGCAUGAUGAGUUCCUGUAUGAUGAGAGUUUAAAAUCCUACCACAGCCACAUAUACAUGCUUAUGAGACUAUGAACCAUACAUUUACUUUUUACUGCUUAUGAGCAUUGAGUGUGGUCAAGCUAUGUAGACCCUUAGGAGCUUGUCAUGCGGUUAUAAUCAAGAUUCACUUGCACGUCCACUCAUACAUGCUGCUUCUACUCUAGAAGUAUGCAUCCACAUACAUCCACUCAUUUCCAUCUCCAGAUGCACCCAAAAUUAUUCUACUCCUAUCCGGGAGAGAAUAGCCAAAAAUAUUAUCCCAUUCCUGUUUUUCUCUGUGAAAUAAAUGCUCGAGCUAUUUUGGUUACUACCACUUGCUACAUUAUUCCAGGAGGGUGAGUGCUCUGAAAAAAAGAAGAAAAAUACGAGGAAAUAAAAAGGGGCAAGUGCUCGGAACCUCGAAAGAAAAAAGAAAAAGUGAGACGAGAGGUAAAAAUGGACAAGUGUCCGAUAGUAGAAUUAGGGGUACAAGAUACCCACCUGAGAGAAAAGAAAAAGAAAAUAUAGAGCAUCUCAUUCCUCUCAAAAACCUUCAAAGUGCAAGAAAGGUAUGUAUCCCCUCAAAAGAGCAAAAGUAGAAUUAGACUUUCACCAUUAUUUUCACCAUCAUCACCAUACACUAUUCAUCCACCACAGAUGCACAUCUUGGUUUGACUUAUUGACUUGUUUCUCUGGAUCCAUGGUUUGACUAUGCAAUAAAUGUCUUGUAAGUAUGUAUUAGUUGUCUCCCACCUAUGAGCUCCAGAUAUCAAACCUUAUUAGAGUAGGGUGAGAGAGAAGGCAAUAUCACUAUGCCUCAUACCACAAAUACUACAUACUUUGAGAGAAGGCGUAUAUUAUCACUGCCUUGGUAAGGAUCUAGAAAUACCACAAAAGAGAGACUAGAGAGAGUCAUACAAGGAAUCUCUGAGUUUUAUUUGAAAAUCUGCAAAAACUCCAGAGCUAUAGUUGAUCAAAGAACAAGAGACAUGGUGCUUGACUUGACUGUUCUAUCUUUUAACUGCUCAAGACACAAGUGACGGUUGCAAGCCCCAUCGUGAAAGCUAAUAUGAGUAAGUUUUAAAUCUUAACAAUUUACCCUAACCUAGAGAUGAGAUCUUGUUUAAACGCAUGUGUACCUUUAAGGCAUAAAACCACUGUAGAAACUCUUGAGUCCAUCCUUGCUCAGAGACGAGCAAGAGGUAAGCUUGGGGGAGUUGUUGACGGUCCUUAAGUACAAAAUAUAAUCAGUAAAUAAACAAAGAAAAUGAUCCAAAUACAACCAACAUCUAAACUUAGGGUUUUAUCUGACAGAAUUCCACGAGUUUUGGUGUUUGUCUAUUUCUGUAGGGGGUUAUCAGGAAAUAUGGAGAGAAGGCCCACACGUCGGGUUUACAUAGAGAUAUUAACGUGCCGUGCAAUUUUCUAUCAUCUAGAAGACUCCAGAAGCCACGGGAACAAACGGGAGGCCGAGCGGGCUCGGGGGCAGGGCGCCCGCCCACCCCCCUUGGGCGCCCGCCCAGCUACAGAGUCCAAUCAGGACUCUCUUCGGGGAUUACGCUCCACCAACCUAAAGGAUCAAGAAUAACCGUUCAAUCAAUGUCGGUUUGAUCCGACGGCCCAGGUUCACUUGAGGGGACUAUAUAACCAGACCCCCUGGCCCCUGGAGGAGGCACCCCUUGAUCAUUAUUUAUUAUUCAUAGACAGAGCAAAAGCUAGGGUUUAGAGAUGAGAGCUCUCCUCUCUUCUCUAAACUAGAGUAGAUCUAGAUAGUAGCGAGAUGGAGAGCGAAGGAGGAUUAGAGGAGAGGCCGGCC